AUUUGGUGCUUUUUUGCAGGCUUUCAACAGCAGAAAAGCAUCUGGAGGCUUGCAGUACUAAUCUCUUGCAUUAUAUUCUCUGUUUUGCAAUCAUUUGGUACUUUUUGUCCCAACCAAGGAUAGCUCUGUGCAAGCAGUCUCGACUGUGGAACAAGUAAAACAAAUGGUACCUGCUGAAGCUGAGAGGGCAGAUGAUAAAUUGGUGCGGAAGUUGGUCAACCAAAAGAAUCAGACAGCAAAAACUAAAAAGCCCAUGAAGCCUGCUACUGAAGCGAUCUCAGCACCUGUUUCUAGGAGGGGUGAGAUUGAAGCGACUGAAGAAAAGGAGCAUGAGCAAACAAAGAAGGAAGAGGAGUUGGCCAGGAAGGUAGAGGAAUUGAGAAGUGAAGAAGAAGCAGCCAUGUUGAAGGAGCAAAGUCUGUCGGAGGAGAAAGCCAACGUUAAGGAGGCACUGGAAAGGAAACAAGGAACUGCAGAAAAGGCCAAUUUCUCUGUGAGUGCUGCCACCUUUUCAUAAUAAUGGAUGUUAAAAGCAGUCUAACUCUACAUGGCGUUUAUUUUCCCCAGCCAUGGAUUGGAAUCUGCCAGUCUAACUCUCAUAAGAAAGAAAAUUUUCCAUCCUCGUAUGGAUUAUUGGAGAAGAUUUUAACAUGGAGUUCACUAGAGAGUUUCAAACACCCACUCAAAAAGGACAUUUUAGAGAACUUAUUGAAAAGUUACAUCAGAGUACAUAAAUUUUUAGAUAUUUUUAAAAAUAUCUGAAAAAUUAAAUUAACUAAAAGUAUUUGAAAAAUAUUUGAUUGAAUUAAUAAAUAACUAGUAUUUGCAUAUGAAAAAAUAGUAAACAUAGUCAAUAAUAUUUUUUUUUUAAUAAUUAGCACAUAAUAAUCAUAAAUUAUUUUAUGGCAAGACCUCAUAUUUGUUGUGGUGACUGUGUUGUCUUACCAUUCUUCUUUCAUGAUGGGCUUAAAUUUUAAUUUAAAUGUAGUAUAAAUAUAUAAUUAGAUUGAUAUUUCGUCCACUAGAAUUGAUUGGGGCUGAAUUUGAACCCUGGUUCGAGUCAUACUCCCAUCCAAUCCAAACUUGUGGUUGGGCUUGAAUUUCUUGGCCCAACCAGCGAAAUCAUUGACCAACGGCCCUUAGUUUGGGCUGGGCUUGAUGGUCCUCAGGUUAUGCAGGCUUAAUACUGAUUGGGUUUGGGCUUCCAUGCAGUUGUACUUGGAUUCUAUGUUUCCUAAUAUUAACACUAAAUUAGGUUUCAUUUAUAAUUAAAUAUAAUUAGUUUGAGACUAACUCCAAUCUUUAGUUAAACCAACUAAGUUUUAUGCAAAGGUUUAUAUUCCUAAUACCAUUGAAAAACUAAAUUUAUGUGGAAGUUUGACUAAGUGAUACCGACAUUAAAUUAUUAAGAUAAAUUGAAAAAAAAAAAAUCAUGCUCGUAUGUCCUGUUGUUUGUCAUAAGAAAAUUUCUUUUCAGAUUUUUUUUUUCUUUUAAUAUAUCUUUACUUUUUUAAUAACAAUCCAUAGGAUUGUUCCCAAACAUAUAUCAUAUAAAUAUAUCUUUUUUGGAUUUUUAAGAAUGUUGUCAAACAAACUCAUAAUACCAUUCUUUCUUAACAAUUACCAAUCCAUAUGACGAAUUUAUUACUUUCAAUAACUGACAUCAUCUAAUCAAAAUUAUAAUUAUAAUUAUAAUUAUAAUUAUAAUUAAGUAUUAUAUUAAAAGAGUGUUUGAUAAAUCAAUUUAAUAACUUAAAUUAAUUUAAUAACUUAAUUUAAAUUAUUAAAAUAAUUUGAUGUCACAAUUUAAAGUUAAAAAUGACUUAAUUUAUUUUUAUUUAAAUUUAAAAUUAUGUUUACAAAAAAGGUUUAAAAUUCAUAUCAAUUAAGAGAUUAAGUCAUUGAAUUACUUUAAGUCAUUAAAUUGAUCUACCAAUUAAAGUUCACCUCCUACAUAUCAUGAAAAUUAAAAAUUAAUUACAACAUCAAGAAUCUUUAGUUCCUAAUCGAUAUAAUAUUUAAUCCUUGGUUGUAAAUUUCUUUACAUAUGUAGAUAUAUUUUUAUAUUGCAAGUGGGUUGCCGACUUUUCAUUUUAUACUAGUUUUGAAAAUAAGAUUGUAGUUUUUAUUUUGUCCAAAUCUAAUUUGGAGGGAGAAUCUUUUAUAUUCAAAUAGGAAAAAUUUAAGUUUAAUAGUCCCACCUUAUAAAGGCAAAUAUCUUGGACCCUACAUGGGUGCCUCUUACAUGCACAAGGACAAAGACUUUUCAAUUUCUUUCUAGAUUUUUUUUUUCUUUUUGUUCUUUUCAAUUCUAGAUAUUUUAAUAUAUCUUUACUUUUUCAAAAACAAUCCCAAACAUUUUUUAAGAUUGAUUUUUAAGAAUGUUAUCAAACAAACUCAUAAUAGCAUUUUUUUCUUUACAAUUACCAAUUCAUAUGAUGAAUUUAUUACUUUCAAUAACCGACAUCAUCUAAUCAAAAUUAUAAUUAAGUAUCAUAUUAAAAGAGUGUUUAAUAAAUCAAAUUUAAUAACUUAAAGUGAUUUAAUAACUUAAUUUAAAUUAUUAAAAUAACUUGAUGUCACAAUUUAAAGUUAAAAAUAACUUAAUUUAUUUUUGUUUAAAUUUAAAACUAUGUUUACAAAAAAAGGUUUAAAAUUCCUAUCAAUUAAGAAAUUAAGUCAUUAAAUUACUUUAAGUCAUUAAAUUGAUCUACCAAUUAAACACCCUUUAAGAUAUUAUAUAAAGCUCACCUCCUACAUAUCAUGAAAAUUAAAAAUUAAUUACAACAUCAAGAAUCUUUAGUUCCUAAUCAAUAUAAUAUUUAAUCCUUGGUUGUAAAUUUCUUUACAUAUGUAGAUAUAUUUUUAUAUUGCAAGUGGGUUGCCGACUUUUCAUUUUAUACUAGUUUUGAAAAUAAGAUUGUAGUUUUUAUUUUGUCCAAAUCUAAUUUGGAGGGAGAAUCUUUUAUAUUCAAAUAGGAAAAAUUUAAGUUUAAUAGUCCCACCUUAUAAAGGCAAAUAUCUUGGACCCUACAUGAGUGCCUCUUACAUGCAUAAGGACAAAGACUUUUUGAAAGCCUCCCCCAUUCAUAUGGAUGCCAUCAUUCAUCGAAGUUGAAACACGAAACCCAAACAAAAUAUUUGAGCAAAAGCAACUUCAAUAUUUUUUUCAUAACUAUAGCUGAGAAUCUCAAUAUUAUUAAAUAGUGACAAAAUUAAUUUCAAUAUUUUUUUUCUCUUAUUUUUUCCUCCUUGUGGUUAUAUUUUCAAAUAGAAAGUAUUAAAUAUUUAAAAAAUAAAAAAAUCAUAAAAAAUAAUUUUUCAUAUUUAAUUAUUCUAUGAAAAAUAUAAAGUAAAAUAAAAUAUAAUUAAAAUUAGUUAAAAAUUUAUAUUUUUAUGAAAUUAUUUAAAUUAUUUAUAAAAAUUUAAAAUAAGUGACAUGAGUUUGAAAUAGUAUAUAUGUUGACUUUAAUUAUAUUUAGUUAAAGUUUUCUAUCAUGCCUAAGUUUAAUUAGUUCUACUUAUAUGAAAUUUAUACAUCGAAAUGAAAGUAAGCAUAUAUUUAAGUGGCCCAUCAAAUUUGAAACUAGUCUAUUGUAAUUACAUUCAUAUCUAUAUCAUUUAUAUUAUACAUAACUUGAGUAUAUUAAAAAUUGUACAAAAGAUCCAAAUCACAAGAAAAUUUAUAUAAAUUCUCUUAAGGGUUUAGGAUUAGACACUGUUAGCCAUUGUCUUCUAAAAAACUUUCAUCGCUUUCUCUCUCAAGAGGUUUGUAGCCACUUUACACAAAUGCCAAGACUCAAAGGAAUGAUCUAGUGAAAAUGAUGAGGUGAUUGAGAUCCUCUUCAUAAACUAGAGUUUGAUAUGGGAACAUUCAUAUUGAAGGUAAAAACUUUUAUCAACACCUAGACUUACUAUUAUAUUCCGUUAUAAUUAACCCCAAUAAUCCUAGGUUGUUAGAGAGCAUACACCUAUGAUCCAAGGGUUUUCCCAACAAAGAUAUCAAUAAAUCUUUCUAUUCCAUUGAUGGUAUCUUGAAUUCUUUCAAAUUAAUCACUUCAUUGUAAUCGUUAUUCACUUCAUUGUGAUUUGUCAAAUAAUAAUUCAUUUAUGCAUCAUGGUUGUGCCUUGAGGUAAGGCUUUAGAGGCAUAAGCCUCAAAAGCCUCUUAAAAUUGGUUCUACUUAUGCCUCUAUAGCCUCUUAAAAUUGGUUUUACAUUUCUUGCAUGAUGAAUGCAAGUUCCAAAUUUUGAUGACUUGGUAAUGUUGGAGUAAUUGGGUUGAAAGGAGUUAAACACAAACAAUUAUUAAAGAAGAUAAAAAUUUGGAAGAAUUAAAAUUUUAUUGUAUUCUACCACUCUCUUUUUUAUUCAAAUAUUACAUAACCUUUUAUUUAUAGAUGCUCACACUUAACUAAAAAUGAUAUAAUUAAAAGUAAAUUAUCAUUUGAUUGCAAUGGAUUCAAUAGAAUAUGGUGGAUAUGCUAAAUUUUUGUCUGUCAAUAAAAUUUGAUUUGAGUGAAUAUAAUUAGAGUAAAAUAGUCUUUUUUAACUGUCACUUUUACAAUAAAAAGUGUUUUAUUUAAAUAAAUAUUUAAUAAAAAUUUAAAAAAAAUUUAAAAAAAUAAUUAUAGUGUUUUCUAAGAAACAUUUGAUAAAUAAUUAUUAUAAAAACACUUCCUCGAAAAUACUUCAAAGUUAGUUGGAUGGUAAGUUAUACAUCAAGAUCUUAAUGAUGGUCCAUGCAACCAUCACCAUUGAUUGUUUUCGAAAACACAACUUCAAUUUAAAUAAUAUUUUAAGGCAACUCCUAGUUAUCAUAUUUUACAAGAUAUUUUUUAAAAUUAUUGUUCUUUUUCUUUCAAAAUCCCAAGAGAGAGGUCACCAAUAUCAAAAUAAUGUGACCCAUCUCUAUACUAUUAUCUCCAUUAUUUGGACUAUAUCAUAAUUUCCUUAUCGACAACAUGGUAGCCACGAUUAAAUACCUACAACUUUGAAAACAAGAUCUCAAAACUAUGCUUAUUUGAUUAUAAGGCUUAAUUAUUAUAGUUUAUCAUUUCCUAGCAUAGUUCUUAGCAUCUAGGUAUUUGUUCUAUAAUAAUUUUUCUCAUUUUUCAAGCUUGCAUUUUGUUUAGAAUUUUUUUGAGUUGUUUACAAUCAUUUUGAAAAUGUCAACUCAUAAUUGUAUACAUUUUAGUUCUUGAAGGACUAAAAUCACUAAACAUCAUGGUAAUACUAUUUAAGGUAAUUUGCUUUAAAUGAGAAUGAACUUAUAUACAACUUACGAUUUAAGGUAAUAAUAGAGAUCCAAUUUAAAAAUACAUAAGUUUUCAAUUAAAUAUUAGUAUAUUUAUGUUUCCCUCUUAUUUUUAAUCCUAAAACACAUUAAAUGUAUGUUCUUGAAUUCCUCCAUGUUUUUGAUGUAAUGCGAUUUGAUAUAAUGAUAAAUCAACUAUUAUGAUUUAAUAAUAUGGAGCUUUGACUUUUGACAUUUAAGUAACACUGUCAAUGAAAGCUCCAUUAUUUUUGCUUCAUGGAAAAACAAAUGAUGUGAUUGAAUUACACUUCAAUUAUGUUUGAUUCUUUGAAAAUACUCAAGAAAAAUAAAUAUUUUUAAAAAUAAUUUUCUCAUAUUUGAUUUUGUUAGCCCAAGGGUUCUCCUAAUUGGGUUUUGAUGAUAACAAACCAUGGUUAAGUGACUAAUUGGUUUAAUGAUUAAGAACCUCAGGUAUAAACUCGAAAAUUCAUCAAAUGACCAAAUGGAUACAAGAUCGAGACGCUUGGAAGACUUGUGAUCAUAGGAAAUUAAUGUAAGAUGAAUGCAUAAGUGCACUUAGGAUUUUCACACGUUUCAUGCAUUUUAGAAAACUCGGUUUAGUCUUUAAAACGUCGAUUUCAUUAAAACCCGAGUUUUUAACUAAUGUACCUUAGGAAAAUUGUUUUAUAAUUGGCUUAAUAAUUUUCCUAAAGACAUUGCCUAAGUGUUAGAAAAGAAAGGAAUAAAAAAAAAUAUAGGUUUUUGGGGCCAAAAAGGCUUAACCAGUCGAGGUUAUGGCCAACCGGCUCAACCGCUUGAGGAACCGGUCGACCGGUUGACCUCGUUCGGUCGAGGAUGCACCAAAACCUUCUCUCUUUCCCAGUGGCCUUCUCUCGUUCGGUUGACCGCUUGAGGUGAUUUUCUUACCGGUCGAGGUCCGGUUGAGGCAACGGUAAUCUGUCAUGCAUUAUAUGCUCCAAUGGCUAGUGAACCGAUCGACCCUUAGCUCGACCAGACGAGGUUACCUUUUGCUAUUUUGGACUCCCGAGCUUAGAAACCUAUAAAUUGAGAGCUCUAAUUCUUUUAUUGACAAGAGAACACUUGCAUUCAAUAGCCUACCUACCUGUUCUUGAUCAAAAAGCUCUCAUUUAUUUCAUAGUGCAUUAAAUCACCACUUGCAUAUCCUUUAGUGCACUCUUGUGUGUCAUCCUAGCUUUAUCUUGUAUUUGAGCUAUCCUUAAGUUAGGUUGAGGGAUUAUAUCUAGUAAAAAUCUGAGUGUUAAAGCCUUUAAGAGGGUUGAAUCUUGAAGUGGUUGUGGAAGAGCCCAUUGGAGCCGGAAUCCAAGUGUAAGAAGAUUGGAAGCUUAGUUGAAGCUUUAAGUUAGUGGAACCCUCACUCAGUUAGGAGGUUGAGGAGAGUGGAUGUAGGCAAGGAAGUUCUGAACCAUUAUAAACCCGAGUUUGAAUUCUCUAAACUCUAUCUCUUUACUUUGCUUAUAUUGUGUUUGAAUUUUUUGUGAUUAAAAAUAUUUUAAAAACCCAAUUCACCCCCCCCCCCCCCCCCCCNNNNNNNNNNNNNNNNNNNNNNNNNNNNNNNNNNNNNNNNNNNNNNNNNNNNNNNNNNNNNNNNNNNNNNNNNNNNNNNNNNNNNNNNNNNNNNNNNNNNCAUAUAUUAAAUCAUAAUAGUUGAUUAUCAUUAUAUCAAAUCGCAUUACAUCAAAAACAUGGAGGAAUCCAAGAACAUACAUUUAAUGUGUCCCCCCCCCCCCCCCCCCUUUUGGGUGUUUUUCUUAACUAAGCAUGGCCUUUGUUUUCUCAAUUGGCAUCAGAGCUAGACCUCUUGUGUUUUAAAAGACUUAAUCGUCUAAGAGGAAAUGACUAUUCCAUCAAGCUCAUCCUCAGUUAAAAAUUUUUCAAAACAUAAAGCUCCAUUCUUUACGAGAACCGACUAUCCCUAUUGGAAAACCAGAAUGACUUGGUAUUUGCAAUCUACUGAUUUAGAUGUAUGGGAUGUCAUUGAAGAUGGCCCAACUUUUCCUACUAAACUAGUUGAUGGAGUUUUGGUUCCAAAACCCAAGCAAGAAUGGAAUGAGCUUGAUAGAAGAAACUUUCAAUUAAAUGCUAAAGUCGUUUUUACUUUGCAAUGUGCUAUGGAUAGAAAUGAAUAUAAUAGAAUAUGUCAAUGCAAAUCAGCUAAAAAAAUUUGGAGGUUGCUUGAAAUAACUCAUGAAGGAACUAAUCAAGUGAAAGAGUCAAACAUCAAUUUACUUGUUCAUAACUAUGAAUUGUUUUCAAUGAAAGAAACUGAGACUAUUGUUGAGAUGAUUACUAGGUUCAGCGACAUUGUCAAUGGUCUUGAAGUUUUGGGAAAAACCUACAAGGAAUCCGAGAAGGUGAUGAAGAUAUUGAGGUCUCUCCCAUCAAAGUGGCAUACCAAGGUCACCGCAAUUCAAGAAGCAAAAGACUUGACUAAGCUACCUAUGGAAGAGCUCAUAGGGUCAUUAAUGACAUAUGAGAUCAAUUUGACAAAGAAGCUACAAGAGGGUGAAGACAAAAAGAAGAAUAACAUAGCCCUUAAAGCUACAACCAAGGAAGAAGAAGAUGUUGAAGAAGAAAAGCCAAGUGAUGAAGAUGAUGAUUUAGCCCUUAUCACAAGAAAGCUCAACAAAUACAUAAGAGGUGAAAGGUUUAGAGGAAGGAAAUUCACCUCUAGAAGGGAUCCUUCUAAAAAAGGAAUCUUCAUCCCAUAGUGACAAGGAGAAAUGGGAAGAGAAAAGAGAUUUGACAUGCUUCAAGUGCAAAAAGCCGGGACACAUUAUAUAUGAUUGUCCUCUCUACAAGAGUAAAGCCAAGAGAAGAAUGAAGAAGGCAAUGAUGGCCACUUGGAGUGAAAGUGAAGAAUCCUCCGAAGAAGAAAAUGAGGAAGGAAGUGGAAAACAUGUGCUUCAUGGCAAUAGAUGAUCAUGAUGAGGUAAACUCUAACUUUAGUGAUGAAGAUAUGCAUGAUGUUUUUGAAGAAUUAUAUGAGGAUUUUGAAAAACUUAAUUUGAAAAAUAAUUCUCUUAAAAAGAAAAUUGAAGAACUUGAAAAGGAACUUGAAGAAGUGAAAGAAAAAUUUUCAAUUGUUGAAAUAUCUAAAACUCAUCUUGAAAAAGAAAAUGAGAUUUUGAGAAGUGAAAAUGAGAUUUUGAAAAAAAAAAAAAAUGAAUGGUUAACCUUCUCUCUUUCAAUUUUCUCUUGUGGACAAAAAUAUUUUGAAAUGAUCUUAGCUAGCCAAAAAUGUGUCUUUGACAAACAAGGGCUAGGAUUCAAAUCAUCAAAAAAUCAAAAGUAUUUAAAAACUACUUUGUAAAAGAAUCCACAAGUGCAAGUCCUUCCACCAGUUGCAACUUUUGUGGAAGAGGAGGGCACAUUAGUAGUACAUGUCCCUUAAGAAAUGGUUCUCAAAAGAAUUUAAAUGCUAAAGCUAAAAAGGUUUGGGUUGAGAAAUCCAAGGUCACUAACUCUCAAGGACCCAAAAAAAUAUGGGUGCCUAAAUCAACUUAAAUUUUAUUUUGUAGGGAUCAAAGAAGGAUAAGUGGUUCUUGGAUAGUGGAUGCUCAAGACACAUGACCGGGGAUGAAUCCAAGUUUGCUUUCCUUACAAAGAGAAAGAGAGGAUACAUUACCUUUGGAGACAAUUCAAAAGGAAGGAUCAUUGGUCAAGGCAACAUUGGUAAUGCCACAUCCUCCCUUAUUGAAAGUGUUUUAUUAGUGGAUGGUUUAAAACAUAGUCUUUUGAGCAUAAGUCAACUUUGUGACAAAGGUUUUAAAGGGAUUUUUGAAGAAUCUCAUUGCAUCAUCAAAGAUAUUCAAAAUGAUAAAACCAUCUUCAUGGGCCAUAGAUGUGACAAUGUUUAUGCAAUAAAUAUUUCAAAAUAUGAUGGUCAUGAUAGAUGCUUUUCAAGCAUGCAUGAUCAAAGUUGGUUGUGGCAUAGGAGGUUGGGACAUGCUAACAUGAACCUCAUUUCCCAACUCAACAAAGAUGAACUUGUUAGAGGCCUUCCCAAAAUAAAUUUUCAAAAAAAUAAAGUUUGUGAAGCUUGUCAAAUCGAAAAGCAAAUAAAAAACUCUUUUAAAAACAAAAAUUUCAUUUCAACAACUAGGCCUUUUGAAUUGUUGCAUAUAGAUUUAUUUGGUCCCUCUUGGACACCAAGCCUUGGAGGAAAAUCUUAUGCUUUUGUUAUUGUAGAUGACUUCUCUAAAUACACUUGGGUCUUAUUUUUAAGUCAAAAGAAUGAAGCCUUUUAUGAGUUUUCAAAGUUUUGCAACAAUGUUCAAAAUAAAAAAGGUUUUACAAUUACUUGUAUAAGAAGUGAUCAUUGGAAAGAAUGUGAAAAUAUUGAUUUUGAAGACUAUUGCAAUGAGCAUGGUAUUAACCACAACUUUUCGGCUCCUAGAACUCCUCAACAAAAUUGGGUAGUUGAAAGGAAAAAUAUAACUCUUCAAGAAAUGACUAGAACCAUGCUAAAUGAAAACAAUUUACCAAAAUACUUUUGGGCCGAAGCGGUUAACGCUUCUUGUUAUGUUUUAAAUAGAAUUUUAUUAAGGCCUAUUCUUAAGAAUCUCCCUAUGAGCUUUGGAAAAACAAGAAACCCAACAUUAGAUAUUUCAAAGUCUUUGGGUGUAAAUGCUUUAUUUUAAACACCAAAGACAAUCUUGGAAAUUUUGAUGUAAAAUCGGAUGUUGGAAUUUUACUUGGUUACUCAACUUCAAGUAAAGCCUUUAGAGUUUUUAACAAAAGAACCAUGGUUGUUGAGGAGUCCAUCCAUAUUAUCUUUGAUGAAUCUAACAAUUCUCUCCAAGAAAGACAGAGCUUUGAUGAUGAUCUAGGCUUGGAGACCUCCAUGGGAAAAUUAAAAAUUGAAGAUAGAAGGCAACAAGAAAAAGUUGUAGAGGAUCCCAAGAAAGAAGAAUCACCUUUGACACUACCUCAUCCUCAACAAGUGCAAGGUGAAUCAAGCCAAGACCUCCCUAAAGAUUGGAAGUUUGUCAUCAACCACCCACAAGAUCAAAUUAUAGGUAAUCCAUCUAGUGGGGUAAGAACUAGAUCAUCUCUUAGAAAUAUUUGCAAUAAUCUUGCUUUUAUCUCUCAAAUUGAACCUAAAAAUAUAAAAGAUGCUCUAGUUGAUGAAAAUUGGAUGAUUGUCAUGCAAGAAGAGUUAAACCAAUUUGAAAGAAGUGAAGUAUGGGAAUUAGUGCCAAGACCUCAAAAUCAGAGUGUUAUUGGAACUAGAUGGGUCUUUAAAAACAAAAUGGAUGAAAAUGGUAUAAUUAUAAGGAAUAAAGCAAGAUUGGUAGCCCAAGGUUUUAAUCAAGAAGAAGUGAUAGAUUAUGAAGAAACCUUUGCUCCCGUAGUUAGAUUGGAAGCCAUUAGGAUGCUACUUGCCUUUGCAUGUUUUAAAAACUUUGUUUUAUAUCAAAUGGAUGUGAAAAGUGCUUUCUUAAAUGGCUUUAUAAAUGAAGAGGUAUAUGUUGAACAACCACCCGGUUUUCAAAGUUUUAACUUUCCUAAUCAUGUUUUUAGACUUAAAAAGACACUUUAUGGUUUGAAACAAGCACCUAGAGCAUGGUAUGAAAGAUUGAGUAAAUUUCUUUUGAAAAAGGGUUUUAAAAUGGGAAAAAUUGACACAACUCUUUUCAUAAAAACCAAAGAAAAUGACAUGAUCUUAGUGCAAAUAUACGUUGAUGAUAUCAUUUUUGGAGCUAAUAAUAUCUCUCUUUGUGAAGAAUUCUCUAAAUGCAUGCAUAGUGAGUUCGAAAUGAGCAUGAUGGGAGAAUUUAACUUCUUCCUUGGACUUCAAAUCAAGCAACUAAAGGAAGGAACCUUCAUCAAUCAAGCAAAGUAUAUAAGAGAUCUCCUCAAAAGGUUAAAUAUGGAGGAAGCCAAAACAAUGAAAACUCCAAUGAGUUCAUCCAUCAAGCUUGACAUGGAUGAGAAAGGUAAGCUCAUCAACUCAACUAUGUAUAGAGACAUGAUAGGUUCUUUGCUAUAUUUGACCACUAGUAGACCCGACAUCAUGUAUAGUGUAUGCUUGUGUACUAGAUUUCAAUCUUGUCCUAAAGAAUCUCAUUUAAGUGUUGUAAAACAAAUUCUUAGAUAUUUAAAAGGGACUAUGGACAUAGGCCUAUGGUAUCCUAAGUGUGAUAAUUUUGAAUUAAUUGGAUACUCGGAUACCGACUUUGCCAGUUGUAAAGUUGAAAGGAAAAGCAUUAGUGACACUUAUCAUUUCCUAGGACACUCACUUGUUUCAUGGCAUAGUAAGAAGCAAAAUUCAGUAGCUUUGUCUACGGCGGAAGCCGAAUACAUAACAGCCGGUUUAUGUUGUGCACAAAUCCUUUGGAUGAAACAAACACUUGGUGAUUUCAAUUUGAUUUUUGAGCAUGUUCCUAUAAAAUGUGAUAACACUAGUGCCAUAAACAUUUCAAAAAAUCCGGUACAACACUCUAGGACUAAGCAUAUAGAGAUAAGACACCAUUUUCUUAGAGACCAUGCACAAAAGGGUGGCAUUACACUUGAAUUUGUAAACACAAAAUAUCAACUUGCCGAUAUUUUUAUAAAACCCCUAAGUGAAGAGCAAUUUUUUGAUAUUAGAAGACAACUAGGGGUGAUUUCUUUAUGAUCAAAUGAUUGCUUGAUGAAUUCUUAAUUGAAUAUACCUUAUGAUUGUGUGAAAUUCAUAUCAUAUGCAUCAUAUAGAAAUAAUCCUAGGAAAGAGGUCAAAUUUUGACCAAAAAUCAAAAUUCUCGUGGCAUUGGACAUAAAAAAUUGGGGAUUUCUACUGAAAAGGGUAGAAGGAGGAUCACAAGACAAGAAAAUGCAAAAAUUUUGGAAAAUUUGACCGUUGACCAAGCGGUCGACCGAUUGAGGAAUCGGUCGAUCGGUUCGUCGGGGCUAGGAACCCCACACUUCAUUUCUCACCUAUUCUCUUCCAUAGCUUGAAGCCCCUUCACAUACCUGCUUCCAGAGGCCAUUUUGGGUUGGAUUUUGGAUUGAUUGAAGGCUUUGAGUGGAUUUUGGGACGCAUUUAAGCUAGGGUUUCAAUCUGAAACCUAGGGUUUUCAGAUUUGGGAGCGUCUUCUCUCUGCACCGCGUGCCUCAAGGUUGAUUUAGCUUCAUCUCCGUGCGCCUAGGGCUUCGGGUUGGUGGUUGCUCCUUCUUAUUUGAUUUCAUUCUCUUUUUGGACUCCUCCUUCUCCUUUCCAUUCAUUGGAUGGCUCCAAGGCGAGAGACGGGCACCUCCGAAAGGCGAGGUAUGACACGACCCUCUUCAGUUCGGUUGAAAACUAUCAGCGCUACAAGCAAAAGUUUGCCCAGAGAAAAGUUGUCCCAGGGAGAAGUGUCAAUUUCUCCCAACUUCAGCACUUCGGGUUUAAGAGACUAUUCGAUCGGAUGGGAUGGCUGCCAGUUGUGACCAUUUCUGAGUCGAUCUUCCCGACUCUGGUGCUGGCUUUUUAUUCACGGGCGACCUAUGGGCUUGGAGGACCUAUAUUGUCCACUGUGAGGGGAGUUGAGAUCAGAUUGAGUCCCAAGAGUAUCUAUCGCAUUCUCGGCAUCCCUUCCGUUGGACUCCAAGUGUAUGAGGCCAAGGCGUGGCCCAUUGUGUCAGGAUUCUAGCCUAGAGAGGCUGUUCAGAGGUUGUGUGAACUCGUAGAUGCCCAGGGGAUGGGCAAACCAUUAGCACACAGCCUAACCAUGCCCAGCCGAGUCCUUCACCACAUGAUAUGCUCCAUUUUAUUGCCACGAGGAGGACAUCGAGAUGAGAUCUCGUAUCUUGAGGCAUUUAUUGUGGACUCGAUCCUCAUUGGGAGACGAAUUCACGUGGGAUAUCUAAUGAUGAUGCAUAUGAUCUCCUACGUUGAGAGCACGACACGAGUACUUCCCUAUGGCCGCUUCCUUACCCGAGUAUUCAAGGAUGUCGGGGUCGACUUGAGUAGAGAGACGGACUUCGAGGCCCCAACUAGCUAUGAAACGUAUGAUGAGCAGUCCUUAGGACGCAUGAAGUUCGAGAAGGCACUCGAUGGUUCUUGGGUUAGGAGAGCUGAGUGACAGGCCCAAAGAUAGGGACAGAUGCAUCCCGAGGCAGAGGAAGAGGCCGAGAUCAAAGAGAUGGAGGAUGGGUUAGACCCUCAGAGGGACUUUGAGCAGAGAGGACCCGAGCUUGACAUUCCACCUCCACCUCGUCAGAGGGCAUUCAUGUUGAGGCUACUUUCUCAGAGCUUAUGAUGAUUGAGCUAUCUUUCAUAGUAGGACCAUCAUCUCAGCCAUCAUUUACCGAGCUACCAUCUCAGGCACCUCACGCUCCUGAGCAUACGCCUUGGAUGGAUGUCUUAGCUCAGAUCAGCUCCCUUGGGACUCAUAUGGAGGAACUUGUUUUAGUCCAUGACUCUCGCUUCUACUCUAUGGAGGAGCACAUGGAUCAGUAUCAGACUGGAGUCACUUCUCAGUUUGAUCACUUCCAACAGAGAUUUGAGCUCAUAAAUGAGCGUAUAGAUCAGUAGUAGGCUACAUUUGAGCAUCUCUAGCAGAGCAUUGAUCGCAUUGAGAGUCGUCAGGCGAGUCAGCAUGAGGAGAUGAUGGUUUACCUCCGCUCUGUGUUUCCUCCUCCACCUCCUCAGCCUUGAGAUUGUCUCGAGUUUCCCUUCCAUUUCUUUUUUAUGUUGCCAAAGAAGGAGAAAUAUAUAGGAUCUAGGAGACCCUCAUGCAUGUCAGAGACCCUCAUACAUGUCAUUGUCAUAUCAUCUUGUUUGUACAUGUGAGGUUUUCAUAUAUAUAUGAUAUGAUAUUUUUAUGAUCCAUUGUUCAUUUUCAUGUUUUACAUUGCUUCCUAUUAAAAAUUGUUUGAUUGAUCCAUGAUUGGUUUGAGGGAAAGAUUUUUUUUCUCCUAGAUAACCAAGGUUUGUCAUCAUAAAAAAGGGGAAGAUUGUUAGCCCAAUGGUUCUCCUAAUCGGGUUUUGAUGAUAACAAACCAUAGUUAAGUGACUAAUUGGUUUAAUGAUUAAGAAUCUCAGGUAUAAACUCGAAAAUUCAUCAAAGGACCAAAUGAAUACAAGAUCGAGAUGCUUAGAAGACUUGUGAUCAUAGGAAAUUAAUGUAAGAUGAAUGUAUGAGUGCACUUAGGAUUUUCACACGUUUCAUGCAUCUUAGAAAACUCGAUUUAUUCUUUAAAACGUCAAUUUCAUUAAAAACCGAGUUUUUAACUAAUGUACCUUAGGUAAAAUGUUUUAUAAUUGGCUUAAUAAUUUUCCUAAAGACCUUGCCUAAGUGUUAGAAAAGAAAUGAAUAAAAAAAAAAGGUUUUAAGGGCCAAAAAGGCUCAACUAGUCGAGGUUAUGGCCAACCGGCUCAAUCGGUUGAGGAACCGAUCGACCGGUUGACCUCGUUCGGUCGAGGACCGGUCGAGGAACCGAUCGACCGAUUGACCUCGUUCGGUCGAGGACCGGUCGAGGAUGCACCAAAACCUUCUCUCUCUCCCAAUGGCCUUCUCUUCCCGGUCGAGGUCCGGUCAAGGCAACAGUAACCUGUCAUGCAUUAAAUGCUCCAACGGCUAGUGAACUGAUCGACCCUUAGCUCGACCAGACGAGAUUACCUUUUGCUAUUUUUGACUCCCGAGUUUAGAAACCUAUAAAUUGAGAGCUACACUUCAUUUAUUGACAAGAGAACACUUGCAUUCAAUAGCCUACCUACUUGUUCUUGAUCAAAAAGCUCUCAUUUCUUUCAUAGUGCAUUAAAUCACCACUUGCAUAUCCUUUAGUGCACUCUUGUGUGUCAUCCUAGCUUUGUCUUGUAUUUGAGCUAUCCUUAAGCUAGGUUGAAGGAUUAUAUCUAGUAAAAAUCUGAGUGUUAAAGCCUUCAAGAGGGUUGAAUCUUGAAGAGGUUGUGUAAGAGCCCAUUAGAGCCGGAAUCCAAGUGUAAGAAGAUUGGAAGCUUGGUUGAAGCUUCAAGUUAAUGGAACCCUCACUCGAUUAGGAGGUUGAGGAGAGUGGACGUAGGCAAGGAAGUGUCGAACCACUAUAAACCCGAGUUUGAAUUCUCAAAACUCUAUUUCUUUACUUUGCUUAUAUUGUGUUUGAAUUUGUUGUGAUUGAAAAGAUUUUAAAAACCCAAUUCACCCCCCCCCCCCCCCCCCCUUUUAGGUAUUUUUCUUAACUAAGCAUAGCCUUUGUUUUCUCAGAUUUUAUUAUAAAAAAAUAAUAUAAUUAAAAUUAGUAAUAAAUUUAAAUAUUUUUAAAUUACUUAAUCUUUAUAUAAAAGAGUUAAAUUAGUAAAACGAGUUUAAAAUAUGAUAUAAAGGUAAUUUAUUGACUUUAAAUCUUCUUUUUUUUUUUUACUUCACUUUUUCUUUCCUUCUCUUUCUCCUCUAUCUUCUUUCUUUCAUAUUUUCCCUCAUGUUUUUUGGAACCGAACAUAUUCACAUAUAUCCUUGAUUUCUAGUGGGUUUAUGAAAUUUGAGUAGACAUAAUUAAUGGAUCAAUCUUUAUUUUUCAUUUGACUUAAUUAAAAUAUUCUCUUUGAUGAGAUCAUAUUUGAUAAAUUGUUAUUUGAUUGCAGCAUAUUCAAUCGAAUUCGAUAGUCUAGGUAUCAUAAAUCAUACAUGUUAUACACUAUUUAUAGUAAAUGAAUAGCCACAAACCAUACAUAGAGGAGAUGCGGAUUUCAUUAUAAAUCAUACGAUAAUUACAAAAGAUAUGAUAUUAACUUGCAGUAAAUUGCAACAUCGGCACUCUAAUGCUGGAUUAGAGUAGGGGCAAUGGGCUCAGAGUAACUAGACAAAGUAAGUCUGAUUAUUGCUAACUUUCCUCAUCUUUCGUGGGCCUUUUGGGUGCUUUUUGUGCAAAAGAGAAAAUGCUAUAACUAAAUUGCCAAUCCAUCACCAACGUUAUAGACUAAUGAAGAAUACCAAAGGGGGUUGAAAAGAAAAAUAAAAAAAGACGCGUAUGUGUAUUAUUUUCUGUCAUUGAGUGUGUAUAUGGAUGUUAGAAGGUCAUUUGAUUGAUUAUGUUUGUUGACGAGAGUUUGUAUGUGAGCUUUUCGAGACCCUUCAUUCUUUGUAUUCAUUUUUGUCAUAUGUUUUGAGAGUGAGAUGAGUGGUCUUCUCUUAGGAGCUCUGAGUCAUUGUCUAUUCCAUCAUUGUGUUCGUUAUUGACGUGACCUCCUUUCAUAUUUGAUUUAAGCAUAUCAUCACUCGUUCUCGUAUUCUAUGUUUCAUCAUCAUACUCGUUUUCACUUCUGAUUCAUCAUUUUCAUUUCACCACUUAUUCCGUUCUUACAGUGACCUCAUCUUUGGGUUUGAUACUCUCUUCGCAUCAUCAUUAUACAUCUCGUCAUCAGUUUGAUUUUCUUCAUUGCAUCAUCAUUGUUACCAUGUUCACAGUAGGCAUUCUCAGGUCCAUGGCUCACAGGAUUUACUAUACAUGUUGCAUUUCAUACACGAGGGCAUGGGUUGUGAUCAUUGGGUAUUUGAGCUUAGUUUCCCUUCGUUUCUAUCACCCUAGCCUACAUUACAUCCCGUGUCUUAAGACCACCCUGAGGCCAUGGGAUCAGAUAUCGUCUUCUAUGGCUUCUAUUUGGACAGGUGUUUGAGAUUUGGUUGACAUUUAGAUAUUGUCAUGUUUCUUCUUCUGGGAGACACCUCUAUGAUGUUUAGAUUCGUUUCAACUGUGUUUGGAUUACCGGGAUCACGCGUUUGAUGAGGGAUGAUUCGAUGUCGCUUGUUUUUCUGACAUGUCGUACAUCCGAUGUCAUACUGGGGCAUAUUCCAUUUCGGAUGAUGUUUACAGAUCUUCAUGGAGUCACUUGAUCAUUCUUACUUGUGAGAUGUGCACUGGGACGAUGACUUAUUUGCCAUUUUUAUGAUGAUACCUCAGUAGAGACUCUUGGGAUCCAUCCGGUUAAGCCCGCACGUCUCGGCAUUCCGAUGUCACCAUGAUUACCUCUGUGAGAUGCCUUUUGGACUCUUGGACCCGAUUCUGUCCUAGAUUGAUGACUGGGAUUAUACGCUUGAUGAGAGAUGAUUUCAUGUCACCUGUUCUUCUGACUUGUCACACAUUCGAUGUCAUACUGGGGCAUAUUUUCAUUUCGGAUGAGAUUUAUGGAUCUUCACGGAGGUCACAUGUUUGAUGAUAAAUGAUUUCUUGUCGCCCGAUCUUCAACAUAUCAUACAUUCGAUGCCAUAAUGGGGCAUAUUUCCGUUCUGGAUGAGAUUUACAGAUCUUGGUGGAUUUGCAUGCUUAUCCUCAUUUGCGAGACGUACGCCGAGACGAUGAUCUAUUUGCUAUCUUUACGAUGAUUCCUCAGGGAAGCCUUUCAGGAGUUACCUAGUUAAACCCGCACUUUUCGACACUUAGAUGUCGUCAUGCUUUCUUCCGAGAGACGCCUCUUUGAUUUGUGGGCCUGAUUCAGUUGCAGACAUGGAUGAUUUGAGCUCAUUUGAUUUUCCAACCUAUCACAUUUUUGAUGCCAUACUGGGGCAUAUUCCCCAUUUUGGUCGAGAUUUGUAGAUCUCCCAUUGAUUUGCAUGAUCAUCUCCGGUUAUGAGAUACACGUCAUGUUGAUGAUUUGAUUUCAUUUUGUCCUGAUACUCCGAGGAGCCUCACUUGAGUCAUUCAGCCAGAUUCAUACUCUCUGAUAUAGUCGUGAUUCUUAGACAGAGUUACCUCAGGUGCCUGGUUUUCCACAUCAUCAUUUCAGUGGGGUACAUAUAAGAUAUUUUGUACAUCCCCCAUGGAGUUAUUCUCGAGUUAUUAUGACAGAUCGGAUACGUUAGACGUUAUAUUGGGACAUAUUUCCCUCCUUCGGCUGCGGAGGUGAUUGUUCUCUCACAAAUCUAUUACAGUUUUUCAUCACUCGAUCGAUGAACAUUUGUUUGCUUUAUUGGUCACCGUUCCUGUGAUUUUCGUCAAGAUGAGCUUUCAGUGUAGCACGAUGUUCGGGUUUUGACCGUCCCACUAGCCAUGAGUCUUUGGUGGAUUGUUACUUUGAGAUUGUGGUAUGUCUCUUAGCGGACUAUUCCCUUGAGACCCUAUCAAAUUAUUCAUUUCAGAUGACGAUAGAUUUCUCUAGCAGAUUGUUUCGAGUUAGAGGCGUCUGACUCAUUAUGACAUCCCGUCAGGCGUCGUGAUCUAGUAGGGCGAGUUGUGAGACUAUGUUCACAAUCGAUUUGAUUAUCCCGACUUACUAGUGGGACAUUUUUUUUUAGACUCAUGAAGUCUCUUUCAAACCUUUCCAAUGGAUUGAGAGUUGUGGCGGCCUGCUACACUAGGGCAUGUCCCCUCCUUCAUCAUUUCCUUACAGUUCGGCGUUCAGAGCCAUCAUUCAUUACUGAUUUUCUAUUUGGCGUUCAGAGUCACAUUCUCAGUUUCAGAAUUCAAAGCCAUCAUCGAUUUUCAGUUUGACGUUCAAAGUCCGCAUUUUUCAAUUUUGGCGUUCAGAGCCAUCAUCGUGUUUUUAGUUUGACGUUCAGAGUCACAUUCUUAGUUUCGACAUUCAGAGUCAUCAUCGAUUUUCAGUUUGACAUUCAGAGUCGCAUUUUUCAGUUUCGGCAUUCAGAGCCACCAUCAUUUUUUAGCCUAGCAUUCAGAGCCACUAUGUCUUCUCAUUUACGACGCUUAGGGUCAUCUUUCUUAGUUGGACGUUCAUAGUUAUCAGUUUUAGUUUGGCAUUUAGAGCCAGCGUUUCUGCAUGGCAUUCGUAGAUAUUAUCUUCGUUUCGACGUUUAGAGCCACGUUUUCAUUUCAACAUUCAGAGCUGUUGUUUCGGUUUGGCGUUCAAAGCCAUGGUUUUGGGUCGACAUUCAGAGUUAUUAUAUCAUCCAUUUCGGCGUUCAGAGCCAUUACUCAUCUUCGUUACAACAUUUAGAGCCACUACUUAUCUUCAUUCGGUGUUCAGAGCCAUGUUUGCUUCAUUUGGCGUUUAAAGCCACGUCUUCGUUCAGCGUUCAGAGCCAUUACAUCAUCCAUUUCGGCGUUCAAAGCCAUUACCCAUCUUCGUUACAACAUUCAGAUCCACUACUUAUCUUCGUUCGGCUUUCAAAGCCAUGUUUGCUUUAUUCGGCGUUAGAGCCACGUCUUCGUUCGGCGUUCAGAGCCAUUACAUCAUCCAUUUCGGCGUUCAGAGUCAUUACUCAUCUUCGUUACAGCAUUCAGAGCCACUACUUAUCUUCGUUUGGCAUUCAGAGCCAUGGUUUGCUUCAUUCGACGUUCAGACCCACGUCUUCAUUCGGCGUUCAAAGCCAUUACAUCAUCCAUUUUGGCGUUCAGAGCUAUUACUUAUCCUAGUUUCGGUGUUCAGAGCCAUUACUGGUUUUCUAUUUGGUGUUCAGAGUCACAUUCUCAGUUCCUCAAUCAGAGUCCUUAUGUCUAUCUUUCGUUUUGAUCCAUCACCAUUUUCCUCCAUUCUAGCAUUUAAAGCCAUUGGGCACACUCUUUCGAGCCUUUUUAGGUCAUUUCUAUUCUUAAUUUUGGCGUUCAGAGCCAUUGUACUUAUCCAUUCAGGCACUUUGAGUCACCAUUUUCUCUUUUCUUUUUUACGUUCAAAGUCACGGUCCCUGGCAUUUAUAUUCACUGGCAUUGCACAUCUGACAUUCAUAAUUUUGCAUCCAUCCUCACUUACCUCACCUUGUUACCCUGUGCUUAUCACUUAUUCAUCAUUGCUCGUCCAGAUUCCUGUUCCACUGCACAUGACACAAUCUCUUGAGUUCACGACACAUACUUCGAUCGUGUUGUUGAGGACCCUACACUUAUCAUUUUCAUGUAGUUCAGAUAGGGUAGUCUUCUUUGGGCGUAGACUUUUCUAUGCUCUAGGGCGAUUCGACCGUCACUCAUCUUUGAUAUGUUUUUUUUUAGUUACUUUUGGAGACGUCUUAGAGGGAGCCUGAGUCCUCAGUGUGGCUUCAGGACAUUUUGAGACAUCAUUUUCUUUUAGGGUUAGAGCCUUUUGUUCACCUAUUGGAUUGAGAGAGUUCGUGUUUCACUAGCAUCCUUUUGGGGGUCUCUUUUGUUCUUUGGUAGAGUUCACUUCAUUCCACUCACUAUUCACACUUUCUUUUCAUUCCAGUGUUCAUAUUCCUUACACUUGUGAGUUCUACCGAAGAUGAGCAUAUUUGUAGACCCCCAUUUAGGCAUGGUUCAUUUUUUCUUUGUUGUUUCUACAGGUUACAUUUUUUUUUUUGCCAGGUGUCGCAGCUAUGAGUAGCCAUGUGUUGAUUCCAAUUUGGUUGCUAUGGCAUCAGGUAGUGGAACAAGGAGCAAACAAGAGGUUGACACGUGUCAAAAAGAUUGGGGAAAAAGUUGAGUUCGUUAGGAGGAGUAGAGGAGAGAGAGAAUUGGUUGGCAGAGAGCGAGUGCUUUGCAUGCUAGCUAGAGAUAUUUUUUUUAGAGGAUUCUUUCUUGAGGGGCAAGUCGGGUAGUGAGGAGAGGCGAGACAGGGGGUAAGAGAAAACAGAGAGUGACUUGAAAUAGAGGGAGAUUCUGGUGACUGGCUGUUGGCUUGAGAUGAGGGAACCUAAGAGAAGAGAGAGCUUUCACAGAAGAAGCAAGGAACAGAGGAGAGAGGUUGCGGCUUGCUGAGAAUCAAACGACUUUUGAUCGAAAGGAUCGCUCAAGUUUAGCUAUUUUUACACCUUAAGUUCUCCAUUAUUUCAGUCAUUCCAUUUUUCUUCCUGACAUUUGGAUGUGUAUUUUGGUUGUCUAAUAUGUUAAACCUGUUUCUUAGCUUCCAUUUUCUUAGUCUCUGUUUGUCUUUCUUUUCUCUCUCUGUAUGAGUUGCAUUGUGAUUAUACUAUUUAUUUGUGUUAAAGUGACUCAAAAACUUCCCACUAGUUCUUAACUCUCAUUGAUUUUCAUGGAGAAAAGAUAGAUCUAAUCAUGUUACUUCUUUCACAUGCUUUGUUUCUUGAGUUUUUUUUUUUUUUUUGCUUUUGAAAAAUACCGACCAUUAUUUUGUAAACUACCUGGAAGUUUUGCAAUGAGAGACAUUUGAGGUGAGAGUUGACAAUGAGAAGAAGCGUAUUGCAUUACAGUGUAGAAUGAGGAAUAUUUUGAGGGUAUUUUGGAAAGCUUGAGGGGCAAGUUUACUGAAGAAAAGAAGAAAGUGUAAGAAGUUAACCCUACUUUGAAAAACCCAGAAAAGGUACGAAAUGGAAUGAAGAAGCCAACAACUUACAGAGCCAGCUUAAUGAGUUUGUUGAUUGUUCUCAAACUGAAAAUCUCGUAAGACCUUAGGUAGAUUACUGUAAACUGUCCAUCACUGGAGAAGAAUGUACGGUUGAGAUUUGCAGAAUAGAAGCUUCUGGUACCGGGAAUCAACGAUGAGGGGUGGCUCGAGCAAAAAGGAGUUUGAUGAAUGAAGUGAGCGGCUCGAGAGUUACAGUCUGAGCACGGAUGUGAGCGAGUGUGAGAGUUUGAGUGGCUUUUCGUGUGACGAUGACGGUUAGGGAGGAGGGGUUGUUUCUUCUCUGAAUUACUCGCUGCUCGUCUGACCGAAGGUUGUAGUGAAUUUCAGUUUCAGAGCGCCGCCUCCAUUAACUCUGCCGGUUGCUGGUGGUGGACAUGUGGUGAUUCAGCCACGGAAGCCGGAGAAAGAGUUGCCGCUACCACUGAGGAGUCCGAUUCUGACCACGUCCCAUGCCUCAACUCCGAAUGACAAGAGGAAUCCUUAUUAUUACAAGGAAUUAAAUCCCGGCGAUACCUCUGAAUCCGACAGUAGGGAGUGUUGGGUGGAUUGCCAGAAAGACUGGUAGGAGUUGAAUGAUUCAGCCAUCGCAUGUCUCAUGGAGGCCUAUACGGAGAAGUUUGCACAACUGAAUCAUGGGAAUCUUCAGGAUAAGGAUUGGACAAGAUUUUAUGGAAUACAAUUAGGGCCCACCAUGCCGCAUUCUUGACAUCAAAUUCGCAGUUACAUGCUGAUAGUUUGGUUGAUAAUCUCUUGUGCACACCUCUGUAGCGAAUCUCUUUGUUUUCGGUAACGCCGGUAGUCACGUCGAUAGAUUUGUCUCUCGGCGCCAUUUGUUUUGUGUUUUGGUACAAGUGUUUGUGAAAACAAAGGUAGACAGAAAGAGAAAAAGAUAGAGAGAGAGAGAGAAAGAGAGAGAGAAGUGGCUUCAAGGACACACGUGGCUCACCCUAUGUUUUCAUGCAUGUUUUCAAAAACCCAUUUUAAAAAAAAAUCUCACUUUCAUAUGAUUUUAAGUCUUAAAAUUUUCUUUCUUGAUUUUAAAUAAAUCCAAUUUUAAUAAAUCAAUUCCAAUCAUUUUUUUUUUCACUAGGCUUGCUGAUUGGAGCCAAAAUAUGUGCUCUAAUGGCACAUAUUUGAUAUGAUUUGUGCACCAAAGGACAUUCAAAUCACCCAACUUGACCUAAAUUAAUGCUAAGGCCCUAGCCAUGAGUUUAAUCUGUACUUUGGAGACUUAUCUCAGGUUCAAGGGAAGAAAAUUGUGCAAAUCCAAUGACUUUAGAUUUUGAAAUAUCAAGAAAGGGCUAAAUGAGGAAAUAAGUGAGUCAAGACUCAUUGAACGUAAGGAAAGGAAAAACGAGGAUAUCAUGAGGUUGAAAGAUGAUAAAUGACCAUUAUGGAGUAAGAAAGAAGGCAAGAAAGCAUGGGAAAUGAGGCAUGAAGCAAGAUUUAGCUGCAUGGAAAUUUAGAACUCAAAAAUCUGAUGGCGUUAUAUACUCUGACUUUGAGGACAAAUUUGGAGUACUUUCUAGAGUCCAUUAUAUACAUACUAUAUAUUUUUUUGAAGCUCGGGAAGUCAAGAGUCCAACGCUUCAAACGGUUUGCAAAUCGGAGCUGAAAUGAAGAAGUUAUGGCCAUUUGAAGACAAUUGCACCAAGUUGGAGGGUCAUUUCGAAAUGAUUUCGAAAUUCAACUUAUGAAUUCGAAAACUUAUGAAUUCGAAAUCCACUUCGAAAUGACACCAAUUUCGAAUUCACCCACUGCCACUUUGAUGUUCAGCCUCCUCUACCCCGGGAAUUGCAUCUAUUCAACUUAUGAAUUCGAAAUCCACUUCGAAAUGACACCAAUUUCGAAUUCACCCAUUGCCACUUUGAUGUUCCGCCUCCUCUACCUCGGGAAUUGCAUCUAAAGCACUCCAUCUGCCCUAGGUGGACUCCAUACAACUAGAAAUCACCAUUUUAUUAUUUUUUUAAUCAUUUUUAGGAAAUUAUUUUGUAAUAAGUGGCCAAUGAGAGUAUGCCACAUGUUAGGUAAUUGAGGAUAUUAUGUAAACUCUCUCAAUUCUAGGUUUUAGAGAUCUUGGAUUUUUUUUUGGAGAGUUUGACAUUGAAGGUGGAAGGAGACGAGAACUUUGGUUUGUUUUCUUUUUCUUCUUUAUUGAAAAUAUUGUUUUUAGUUUCUUUCGAUUCAAAUUAUGGAUUUUUACCCUAUUAUGGAUUGUGAAUGUGACAUCACCCCCAUGAGAGGCUAAGAGCCAACUUGGGGCUUGAAGCAUGAAAACCUAAGGGCUAGGAAACCAAUAGGGACAAUGGGCAAAUUAUUAUAACAAUGAGAUUAAUUAUUGGUUGGGUGACAAUUUAUCAUAUUUUUUUAUCCUAUCAUUGUGAGUUCGUUUAGGGAAUGAUACAUUAGGUUAUUACUUGAUACUAGUGAUUCUUGGUAAUUCUUGAUCAUUAGUUAUUUUCGUCUUACCUACCAUUAUUUGCCCCUAAACAAAGCUAUAAGGAGUAGGAAGGGUUAAAAAGCCAAAUCUUAAAUUGAUAAUCAAUCUCAUUCAUUUGAUGGUUUUAGGAAUCUGUUUUAAAAAGGAAAAAUUAGGUUUCGGAUGCAAUUUUGAGUUAUAGAACUCAACUUGAUCGCGAGUGGCCAAGGAUCCCAAAACUCUAAGAUCAUAUUACUUAAAAUACCCUUGUUUUCUCUAAUUUCUAUACCCUAGGUUGGAUUGUGGAAAACCCCAAACUUGAAUCAAUUGAUUUUAAAAUCAUUAUUCAUUUUCUCUUAUUAAUUUAAUUUCUUUUACUUAGUUUCACAUUAUUCACAUAUUGUUUUUCACUUAAGGAUUUAAACAAAAACAAUUCAUUUAUUCUAGUAUUGACAAUUUUCAUAGGCCAGUCCUUGAGAACGAUACUCGGAAUACUACAAAAGCCGUAGUGACUCUUUCUCUAGUUUUUCUUGACUAGAGUUACUACAUAAAAAGGCUAAGUAUUUUGGUACAAUAGAAAAUUUUCGGUCACUUGCAUCUUUUACUUCAUUUUAUUUUUUUAUUUUAUAUUAUUUUCAUUUUUUGUAUUAUUAUUAUUUUUUUCUUUUCUUUGAUUUUAUGUAUUUUCUUUUAAUAAGAAAAUUGGUUGUUAUUCUCUCUUCGGCAAGCCUUUUUUCACAUUUUCUUUGUUUUUUUUAAAAAUGUUUUAAAAUGAGCAUGAAUUUAAUUUUGUAGUUCCAAGAGAAAAGAUUGCAACUAAAUUGCCAAUCCAUCACCGACGUUAUAGAUUGAUGAACAAUACCAAAGGGGGUGUUAUGAAAUAAUGAGAAUAAAUAAUAAGAAAAAUAGAAUAAGAACACAUAGAUAUAUGUGGAAAACUUUAGACGAGAAAAGAUGGAGCACAAGCAAACAAAGAUGGAAAAGGAGCUGACCAGGAAGGUAGAGGAAUUGAGAAAGGAAGCAGAGACAACCAUGUUGAAGGAGCAAAGUCUGUUGGAGGAAAAGGCCAACGGUGAGAAGGCACUGCAAAGGAAAAAAGAAAGUGUAGAAAAGGCCAAUUCCUUUAUCACUACUAAGGCCACCAUUUCAUGAUACAGCCAUAAUAAUGGAUGUUUAAACAGUGUGAUUAGAUAUAAGUUUGCCAUUCAUAUAUGGAAAAUAUUAACAAAACUGAGCUUCGGCUUUCGAUGAGUCCAGGUAAAAUCAAUAUCAAUAUAACCUUAGCAGGUGAAUCAUCAUAGUGAAGUUUUUGGAAUUUCAAUGCAUGAACAUAAAGCCACUAAAAGGGCCCCUACUAUUCAACUGUUAUUGGUUCAAGGGUUGUAUUUAGUCAGCGUAUAAUGAGGUAGAUAUUUUGAUUAUAAGGCGAGUCGCGAGUCUCAAGAAGUGAUCUCGAUGUUUGACCAGAGAGCCUUACACCAUGGGUGUGAUUUGUCAAACAAUAGUUCAUUUCUGCUUCAUGGUUGUGCCUUGAGGUAAGGCUUUAGAGGCAUAAGCCUCAAAAGCCUCUUAAAAUUGGUUCUACACUUCUUUGCAUGGUGAAUGCAAGUUCCAAAUUUUGAUGACUUGGUAAUGUUGGAGUAAUUGUGUUGAAAGCAGUCAAACACAAACAAUUAUUAAAGAAGAUAAAAAUUUUGAAGAAUUAAAAUUUUAUUAUAUUCUACCACUCUUUUUUAUUCAAAUGUUACAUAAUAUCUUAUUUAUAGAUACCAACACUUAACUAAAAAUGACAUAAUUAAAAGUAAAUUAUCAUUUGAUUGCAAUGGAUUCAAUAGAACAUGGUGGAUAUGCUCAAUUUUUGUCCAUCAAUAAAAUUUGAUUUGAGUGAAUAUAAUUAGAGUAAAAUAGUCUUUUUAACUAUCACUUUUACAAUAAAAAGUGUUUUAUUUAAAUAAAUAUUUAAUAAAAUUUUAAAAAUAUUUUUCAAAAAUAAUUAUAGUAUUUUCUAAGAAACAUUUGAUAAAUAAUUAUUAUAAAAAUACUUUUAAAAACACUUCCUUGAAAGUACUUCAAAGUUGGUCAAAUGGUAAGUUAUACAUCAGGAUCUUAAUGAUGGUCCAUGUAACCAUCACCAUUGAUUGUUUUCUAAAACACAACUUCAAUUUAAAUAAUAUUUUAAGGCAAGUCCUAGUUAUCAUAUUUUACAAGAUAUUUUUUAAAAUUAUUGUUUUUUUUUCUUUCAAAAUCCCAAGAGGGAGGUCACCAAUAUGAAAAUAAUGUGACCCAUCUCUAUACUAUUGUCUCCAUUAUUUGGACUACAUAAUAGUUUCCUUAUUGACAACAUGGUAGCCACGUUAAAUACCUACAACUUUGAAAACAAGAUCUCAAAACUAUGCCUAUUUGAUUAUAAGGCUUAAUUAUUAUAGUUUAUCAUUUCCUAGCAUAGUUCUUAGCAUCUAAGUAUUUUUUAUAUAAGAAUUUUUCUUAUUUUUCAAGCUUGCAUUUUGUUUUAAAAAAAUUUGAGUUGUUUACAAUCAUUUUGAAAAUGUCAACUCAUAAUUGUAUACAUUUUAGUUCUAUAAAGACUAAAAUCACUAAAUGUCAUGGUAAUACUAUUUAAGGUAAUUUGCUUUAAAUGAGAAUGUGCUUAUAUACAACUUAUGGUAAUAAUAGAGAUCAAAUUUAAAAAUACAUAAGUUUUAAAUUAUAUAUUAGUAUAUUUAUGUUUCCUUCAUAUUUUUUAUCCUAAAAACACAUUAAAUGUAUGCUCUUGAAUUCCUUCAUGUUUUUGACAUAAUAAGAUUUGAUAUAAUGAUAAAUCAACUAUUAUUAUUUAAUAAUAUGGAGCUUUGACUUUUGACAUUUAAGUAACAUUGUCAAUGAAAGCUUCAUUAUUUUUGCUUCAUGGAAGAGCAAAUGAUGUGAUUGAAUUACACUUCAAUUAUGUUUGAUUGUUUGAAAAUACUCGAGAAAAAUAAAUAUUAAAGAAAAUAAUUUUUUCAUAUUUGAUUUUACUAUAUAAAAAUAAUAUAAUUAAAAUUAGUAAUAGAUUUAAAUAUUUUUAAAUUGCUUAAUCUUUAUAUAAAAGAGUUAAAUAAAUAAAACGAGUUUAAAACAUAAUAUACAGGUAAUUUAUUGACUUUAAAUCUUUUUUUUUUUACUUCACUUUUUCUUUCCUUCUCUUUUUCCUCUAUCUUCUUUCUUUCAUAUUUUCCCUCAUGCUUUUUGGAACUGAACAUAUUCACAUAUAUCCUUGAUUUCUAGUGGGUUUAUGAAAUUUGAGUAGACAUAAUUAAUGGGUCAAUCUUUAUUUUUCAUUUGACAUAAUUAAAAUAUCUCUUUGAUGAGAUCAUCUUAGAUAAAUUGUUAUUUGAUUGCACCAUAUUCAAUCGAAUUUGAUAGUCUAGGUAUCAUAAACCAUACAUGUUGUGCACUAUUUACAGUAAAUGAAUAGCCACAAACCAUACAUAGAGGAGAUGAGAAUUUCAUUAUAAAUCAUACGAUAAUUAUAAAGGAUAUGAUAUUAACUUGCAGUAAAUUGCAACAUUGACACUCUAAUGCUGGAUUGGAGGAUGGGCAAUGGGCUCAGAGUAACUAGACAAAGUAAGUGUGAUUAUUGCUAACUUUCCUCAUCUUUCGUGGGCCUUUUGGGUGUUUUUUGUGCAAAAGGUGCAAAAGGCUAUAACUAAAUUGCCAAUCCAUCACCAACAUUAUAGACUGAUGAAGAAUACCAAUGGGGGUGUUACGAAAUAAUGAGAAUAAAUAAUAAGAAAAAUAGAAUAAGAACACAUAGAUAUAUGUGGAAAACUCUAAACGAGAAAAACCAUGAGAAGAGGAAAAGAAGAUUCGUUAUGUCAAAAAUUGGUACAAAAUGGGAGAGUUGAAAGUGACUACAACAAAAACAUAAUCAUCAUAACCCUAAAACUAUACAUCAUUAUUAUAUAUAUAUAUAUAUAUAUAUAUAUGCGAGAGUUGAGAACAACUAUGGGAUGAGGUCUAUUGACCCGAUCUCUUCACUACCCCCACAAAUCUCUCAAAAAAUCUUAUAAUUUUAACUUUACUACAUAUAUUGCAUCGUGAGCUUUUCGAAUCGAAUAAAAAAGAAUUUGGAAUCAUCAAACUUUAACAAAGGGAGUGAGAUCAUAACUUUGGAAGGAUUUUUAAAAAAAAAAUGUAGACUUAAAUGGUAAAUAUUAAAGUGUGUUUGAGAGUGAUACUCGAAAGUAUUUUCAACAUUUUUAAUAUUUGAAAAAUAAAAUUUUUUAAAUAUUAAAAACAUUAUCUAAAAUCAAUAUCAAAAAGCAUUUUAUAAAAUCAGUAUCAAACUAUCAAACAUAAUUUGAAUUUAAAUAGAGACAAGAACAACAUUGACUCUUGACUCACUAAACCAGUCUCAGUUCACUUAUUGAAUGAAAAGAAAAUAAUUAAAAAUAAAGAACAACAUCCAUGAGUAUAUAUAAUAUAUUCAUUUGCAGCUCUUGAAUGCAAAUAAUUUAAUAAUUUUUUUUAUAAUUAAUUAAUGAAGAUAAAAAUUUGAUAAUUAACAUACAAUUAUGUUGAUAUUUUGACAUUAUAUUCAAUUCACCAAAUAAGAUUGUUUUUCACCCAACAAUAAUUUAUGUAGAAUAAUAAAUAAAUUAAAUUAGUUGGAAGUUAAUUUUAAUUUGAUUUAAUUAAAAAUUGGUUAAAAAAUGUUUUUCAUUUAAAAAUUAAUUGUAGAAUAAUAAAUAAAUAAAUAUAUUCGUAACCAAAGCAUUUGAUUAAAAAUUGGUUUUCAUUUAAAAAGAUAAGUUGGAAAUUAAUUUUAAUUUGAUUUAAUUAGAAAAUUGAUUUUUUGCUGGUUAAGUUUGUUUUAAUUUGUAAAUUCAUGUAAAUAAAAAAAAAGGAUAAGAAGAUAAUUUUCAUGUGAAAAAUCAUUUAAUUUGAAAAUAAAUGAUGUAAUGUGUUUCAUUGGCGGUUAGCACUUAGCAUUUUGCAUUUUUUCUUGUUUGUAUAACUUUUUAAAAUGUAAAAGAUAAUAAUAAAAUAGGAAAUAAUUAAUAAAUUAAAAAAAUAAAAUAAAUGAUCGUUGAUGGCCCCCCACAAAAUGUGUCAUAUGACUUGGAUUAUUUUUUUCUCUUUUUAGUAAAACAAACUUUUAAAAUAAAUAAAAAAUAAAAUAGGACAUAAUUGAAUCCCACUGUUAGUGAAUGCAAAAGGGCUUCACCCAACCAGAAAUAAUUGAAAGGACGCUUUAUUUUUACUUUUUCCAAAGUCUGUAGUAGCAAUUUUAAUGGGAUACAGUUGUAAAGAACCAGACAUCCUCACCACCAUCGUCUCAGACUCUCAGCAUUCAAAGACCCCUUUGAAUUUUCUUCUUCCAAAUUCUGUUCUUGUAAUUUUGUUACAAUCCAACCAUGACUUCCUCUAGCAAUUCUAAGAGACCCUCUUCAUCUUCUUCUUCUUCUUCCAAUUCUAAAUGCUAAUUAAUAAUUGAGAGUGCAAUUAAUAAUUGAGGCAGGACUUUGACUCUCGUGAACCCCCCCACUCUCACUCAAUGCUAAUUGCUAAAGGGUUACGGGCUUACAGCCGAUCAAAGAUAAUUGAGACAGAAGAACCAGACAUCGUCUCACACUUUGUUUUUUCUUCUUCCAAAUUUUGUUACAGUCCAACCAUGGCUUCCACUAGCAAUCCCAAGAGACCCUCUUCUUCUUCUUCUAAUUCUAAAUGGAGGUACGAUGUGUUCUUGAGUUUCAGAGGCAAGGAUACCCGCAACAACUUUACUAGUCAUCUCUACAAGGCUUUGGAUCAUGCCAACAUUGAAACCUUUAUAGAUGAUGAAGGACUUCCAAGGGGAGAAGAGAUUGCGCCCGAGCUCCUAAAAGCUAUUGAAGGAUCAAGGAUUGCCCUUAUUGUCUUCUCGAAAACCUAUGCUGAUUCCAAGUGGUGCUUGGAUGAACUCGUCAAGAUCAUGGAGUGCGAGAAAGAAAAGGGACAACAGGUUUUUCCUAUUUUCUAUCAUGUAGAGCCGUCUGAAGUCAGGAACCAGACUGGGAUUUAUGGAGAAGCAUUUAACAAUCACGAAAGAAAUGCAGACGAGGAGAAGAAGAAGAAGAAGAUAGAGCAGUGGCGGACUGCCUUAAGGAAAGCUGGUAAUUUGAGUGGAUUUCCUCUGCAGGAUAGGUAAUCCCUACUUCACUUUUUCCAUUCCCAAUUUUCUGUCAGUUUAUUUUCAUUCUUGUUAAUAAAUAAAAUAUUUAUGAUUACAUUUAUCAAUCAAAAUCCAUUUUUAAGUAGUAGACAUUAAUAUGUUCGAUUUCUUGGAAAGUAAUAAGAAAGAGUAAAAAAAAAUAAUAAUAAUAAUAAUAAAUGAUUUUCUCACAUUUAAUUUAUUAUUAAAAUUAUAAAAGGAAAUCAAAUAUAAUUAAAAUAUAUCAGAAAAAAUUAUAUUUGCCCAGCAGAUGGAAAUGCCAAGUUUUGAAUUGUUAAAAAUCUUUAAGAUUCCAAAAUAUUCUUCCUUUCUAAUCGAUCCAUCUCAGCCAUAAUUUCUAUCAAUUAAAAAAAAAUGGUAGUCUGUCAAAUAAAUUGUUAAAAUUGGUUAUUUAUAUGCCUUGUAAAUUUGGAGAUAAUCUGAGAUGAUUAUUUAAAAUAUUGUAAUACUACCCUAAAUUUUGUUGGACCUCUUAUGAGACAAAAAACUUAGUUAUUGCACCCUUAACCUUUUUCAAUUUUAGAGGAAUUUUCUAUUACUUAAAUAAUUUUCUCAUGUUCUCUAUGCACUACAUGAGUUUACAUUUCUUCUUUACUUAAUAUUGUUUGUUCCUCUAUAUUUGCAAGUUGAUUAUUAAAUUUAUUUACCUUUUAAUCUAAUGUUUGUAUCUCGUUUUAUUCUAAUUAUCCCAUGACUCUUCUUAAGACCUUGUCUUUCACGUUGAAUCAUCUAAUGCUAAACUUAUUCCCUUGCUAUUCUACUUUGUGUACUCAUGGGAUUAAUAUAUUGAAAUUGAAAUUGUUUUUUUUUUCUCUCUCUUUUUCUCUUGUAUGUUCUACAUUCUUCUAUGCCUCAAUUACAAAUAAAAGCAAGCAACCUUAGAGCUUGUUUGACUUGAAACUAAUGUUCAAAAAAUAGUUUUCCCCAACCCAAUGUUGAAAAUAAUGAACAAAAUUUUAUUUGAAAAUUCAAAUAUGAAAAAAGUCUUUCUCAACUUAUGAACUAUGAAGGUAUUAUAAAUUUAUGUACAAUAUAACUUUUUCUAAGUAUUAUCUAUAUUUUCAUUUCUUUAUCACAAUACUCUAUAAGAAAAUACUUAUAAUCAUCUCAAAUAUGCUCUUAAAAAUGAACUUGUUUACCGAAAAAAAUUUUGAAAAAAAUUUUUAGUAAAAAAAAAUAAAAUAUAUAUUUAAGUUAUUAAACUAUUUUAUAUUCUAGAGAAAAAAAAAUCCAUUUUCAAAAACAAUAUCAAUACAUGCAUUUUUCUUUUAAGUAUCAUUUAAAAAUCUUUUUCCACAAGUCUAAUUGUUGCUAGGCUUUUGACCAACAAACAAACACGUGUCACUUUCCUUGUCAUUCUAAUUUAUAUUUGGAAAAAAAAUGGGGAUUUCAUCAAAAUAUGAAACUUACGUAGCAAUUAUUAACAACCUAAAUAUAAAUAGAAGUACAACUAAAAUGUACUUGUUUACAAAAUAAAUAGUUGAAAGUCUUAUAAGUAUAGAGGAUGGUCAUAAGUCAUGCUAUAAUUAAUAAAAGCAUUGCUAGGUUACAGAACUUGGGUGACAAAUUGGUAGAUUUCUAGCCAAACUAGUAUUGGUCUCUAUAAUAAAAUCUCUUAUCAUAAAAGAUAACGAUACAUUAGAAAGGUCAACUUCAAUUUGGACCUUUAGAAGCAAUUGAGGUAUUUACAUUGUUUUAUUGCACAUAUACUUGACUUAAAACAAUGAAAUUUUAUUCAAACAUGCGACUCAAUACAUUUUUAAUUUACAUUCUAUUUGACCUUAAUUUAGUUGCAUUGAAUGGAGCUAAACACCAUUCUAUAAUUUCCAUUUACUUCAUCUUAGUUUUCUUUGGCAAUUGAUUCUAACUCACUGCAUGUUUUAUUGUACUUUAUAAUGGACAGAUCUGAGGCAGAGUUUAUUGAAGAUAUCAUUGGUGAGAUUAGAAGAUUGAUUCCUAAGUUGGUAGAUGUUGGUAAGAACAUGGUUGGAAUGGAUGGAAAUUUGAAACAAGUGAAGUCAUUGAUAGAUGCCCAAUCAAAUGAAGUGAGCAUGGUUGGGAUUUAUGGGAUUGGUGGGAUUGGUAAAACUACCAUCGCCAAGGUUGUUUACAAUGAUAUGUUAUAUAAAUUUAAACGUCACAGCUUUCUUGAAAAUGUGAGAGAGAAAUCUAAAGGUGGUCGUGGUUUACUUGAAUUACAAGAAAAACUUCUUUGUGAUAUCCUAAUGGAGAAAAAUCUGGAGUUAAGGAAUAUUGAUAAAGGAAUUGAAAAGAUAAAGAGUGAGUGUUGCUUUGAAAAGGUUCUUAUUGUUCUUGAUGAUGUAGAUUGCCCAAGACAAUUAGAAUUCUUAGCUCCUAAUUCUGACUGUUUUCAUCGAGGAAGCAUAAUCAUUGUGACCACGAGAAAUAAACGUUGCCUAAAUGUAUAUGAGUCGUAUUCAUCAUAUGAGGCUAAGGGAUUAGCACGUGAGCAAGCUAAGGAACUCUUUUGUUGGAAUGCCUUUCGAAAACACCAUCCAAAAGACAAUUAUGUGGACCUCUCUAAUCGUAUACUGGAUUAUGCUAAAGGCCUUCCAUUGGCUCUUGUAGUUUUGGGUUCUUUUCUCUUUCAAAGGGAUGUGGAUGAAUGGGAAAGCACAUUGGAUAAACUCAAAACAAACCCUCUCGAAGAUAUUCAAAAGGUACUCCAGAUAAGUUAUGAUGGACUAGAUGAUAAAUGCAAAAAGUUGUUUCUUGAUAUUGCAUGCUUCUUCAAAUAUAAGGAUGAAAAAUUUGUUACAAGAAUACUAGAAGGUUGCAAAUUCCAUCCCAAGAUUGGACUAAGAGUUCUUGAUGAGAGAUGUCUUAUCUCUAUAACGUACGGCACUAUAAGGAUGCAUGACUUGUUACAAGAAAUGGGUUGGGCAAUUGUUCGCCAAAUUGAUCCAGAAUGUCCUGGAAAAUGGAGCAGAUUGUGGGAAUUACAAGAUAUUGAAAGUGUAUUUACCCGAAAUAAGGUAAGAGAAAAAUACAUGAAUAUACUUGAGACCUAAAGACAUAAAAGAUUCAACAAGAUUUAUUUUUAUUAUUAUUAUAGUCUGAGUACCUUAUCUAUAUAAUUUUAUCGAAUCCCUAUGCAUCUUAUACUACUUUUUCUCAAUGCUUGUUUUCAGGGGACAAAAAACAUUGAGGGGAUAUUCAUAAAUCGGUCUUGGGAUACAAAAAAACGUAUACAACUUACUGCUGAAGCUUUCAGAAAGAUGAAUCGACUUAGAUUGCUCAUAGUUAAAGGCAAUAUGGUGCAGCUUUCCCAAGACUUUGAAUUGCCUUGUCAUGAUUUAGUAUAUUUUCAUUGGGAUAACUACCCUUUGGAAUAUUUGCCAUCAAAUUUUCAUGUAGAAAAUCUUGUUGAACUUAACCUCUGGUACAGCAACAUAGAACAUCUUUGGGAAGGAAACAUGGUAUUGCUAUUAUUUAGUUAUAUUUUUGCUCUAGACUAAUUUUAAAGUCUUUUGAAGUUUACUUAUUGAAACGAAUUUUCUUCUGUUACAGACUGCUAGAAAGUUAAAGGUCAUUAAUCUCAGUUAUUCCAUGCAUCUGGUUGGUAUUUCAAGCAUCUCAAGUGCACCAAAUUUGGAGAUUCUAAUUCUAAAAGGUUGUACAAGGUUACUUACUUGUUUCACCCAUGCUUAAUGUUAUUAUUAGUCAUGAGCUAACUGUUUUCUUGAAUAUAAUAGGAUGCAAGAGACUUGAGAGUCUUCCAAGGAACUUUCAUAAGCUGGAAUGCCUUCAAACACUCUCUUGUGAUGGCUGUUCAAACUUAAAAAGUUUUCCGAAGAUCGAGGAAGAAAUGAGAAGUCUAAGAAAGCUUCAUUUAAGUCAUACAGGUAUAAUGGAAUUACCAUCAUCAAUUAGCAAUCUAAAUGGGCUUGAAAAGUUGGACUUAGGUUAUUGCAAAAACCUUUUGAGUCUUCCGGACAGUAUUUUUAGUUUGAGUUCUCUUCAAACUCUGAAUCUAUUUGAGUGUUCAAAACUAGUGGGCUUUCCGGGUAUCAAUAUUGGAAGUCUAAAAGCUCUUGAAUAUUUGGAUUUGUCAUAUUGUGAGAACAUUGAGAGUCUUCCGAACAAUAUUGGUAGUUUUAGCUCUCUUCAUACUCUUUCAUUGAUGGGGUGUUCAAAACUGAAGGGCUUUCCAGAUAUCAAUAUUGGUAGUUUUAGCUCUCUUCAUACUCUUUCAUUGAUGGGGUGUUCAAAACUGAAGGGCUUUCCAGAUAUCAAUAUUGGAAGUCUAAAAGCUCUUCAAUUGUUAGAUUUCUCACGUUGCAGAAACCUUGAGAGUCUUCCGAACAAUAUUGGUAGUUUGAGCUCUCUUCAUACUCUUUUAUUGGUAGGGUGUUCAAAAUUGAAGGGCUUUCCAGAUAUCAAUUUUGGAAGUCUAAAAGCUCUUCAAUUGUUAGAUUUCUCACGUUGCAGAAACCUUGAGAGUCUUCCCAUGAGCAUUUACAAUUUGAGCUCUCUCAAAACAUUGAGGAUUACAAAUUGUCCAAAACUCGAGGAAAUGUUAGAGAUUGAAUUAGGGGUUGAUUGGCCACUUCCACCUACAACCAGUCACAUUUCAAAUUCAGCAAUAAUCUGGUAUGAUGGCUGCUUUUCCUCAUUAGAAGCAUUAAAACAAAAGUGCCCCCUGUCAUCACUGGUAGAAUUAUCUGUAAGAAAGUUUUAUGGCAUGGAAAAAGACAUCCUCAGUGGCAGUUUCCACCUAUCCUCAUUGAAAAUAUUAUCUCUAGGGAACUUCCCUAGCAUGGCAGGAGGAAUCCUCGAUAAGAUUUUCCAUCUAUCUUCAUUGGUAAAAUUAUCUCUUACUAAAUGCAAGCCAACGGAAGAAGGAAUCCCCAGUGAUAUUCGGAACCUAUCUCCACUGCAACAAUUAUCUCUACAUGACUGCAAUCUAAUGGAAGGAAAGAUCCUCAAUCAUAUUUGCCAUCUAACAUCCUUGGAAGAAUUACAUCUGGGUUGGAACCAUUUUAGUAGCAUUCCUGCUGGCAUCAGUCGACUUUCCAAUCUAAAAGCCCUUGACUUGAGUCACUGCAAGAACCUUCAACAAAUUCCAGAGCUUCCAUCAAGUCUACGAUUUUUAGAUGCGCACUGUUCGGAUCGUAUUUCAUCAAGCCCCUCGCUUCUACCUAUUCAUUCUAUGGUCAAUUGCUUCAAAUCAGAAAUUGAGGUAUGAUUCUCAUGCCACGUUCCUUUUUCUUUCGUACCCAUUGGAUUUACAUGGUGCUUUUGUGCAGGACUGCGUGGUUAUUCAUCGUUAUUCUUCCUUCUGGGGCAAUGGAAUUGGUAUUGUUAUUCCUAGAAGUAGUGGAAUUCUAGAGUGGAUAACGUAUCGGAAUAUGGGAGGGCAUAAAGUAACAAUAGAGCUCCCUCCGAAUUGGUAUGAAAAUGAUGACUUGUGGGGAUUUGCUUUAUGCUGUGUUUAUGUUGCACCUGCCUGUGAAUCUGAGGAUGAAUCUCAGUAUGAAUCAGGUCUUAUAUCUGAGGAUGACAGUGACCUUGAAGAUGAAGAAGCAAGCUUUUAUUGUGAAUUGACAAUCGAAGGAAAUAAUCAAUCAGAAGACGUGGCUGGUUUCGUUCUUGAUUUUCGCUGUGUUAAGGAUGAUGUAUCAGAUAUGCAGUGGGUGAUAUGUUAUCCCAAGUUAGCUAUUGAGAAAAGUUAUCACACCAAUCAAUGGACACACUUCAAGGCUUCAUUUGGUGGGGCCCAAGUGGCAGAGUGCGGAAUCCGUCUGGUAUACACAAAAGAUUAUGAACAGAAACAUCCAACAAUGGCACAAGGCAGUACUUCUCAUGGGAAUUUUGGUGAGCAUGGAUCAGUAAGAGAAGAUGGCAGUACUUCUCAUGGGAAGUUUGGUGACCAUAGAUUAGUAAGAGAAGCUUUACUACUCUAAAGAUACUAAUAGUAAAGAUCACAAUAAAAGGAAUCCCACAGAACAGAGCCCAGGAGAGGAGUCACGUACACCAUAAAAGAUUCAGAGAAACCCAAGACUGAUCCCAAGCAUUAGGCUCAACCACACUUGCAUCAAUAAUGUUCUCUUCCUGGUAAUUCAUCUUCUUUUCUCUUUCAAAUUCAAAGGUCAGAAAUUUUUUUAUCAUGUUUCUCCUUUUUAUUUGUUUUUUCCCCAAGACAAACAAAAAUUUGUGGCUAUCAUCCAUGGGUGCAAACUUCAAUGGUACACCUCCCAAGUUUGUUUUUCUCUCUCUCCAACCGUCUCUCCCUAGAUUUUUCUGCAUUUUCUUCAAACUCAUAUUUCUAUAUGAAAUUCAAUUACAUUCGAGCAUUUCAAUCUCUGUAGCUAAUGUCUGAAUCAUUUCUAGGGUUUCUUUUUUCUGGAAGUUUGUAAUGUUAUUGAUUUAUGACUUGAUGUUUGGGGAUGUUUUGGGUGGCUUGUUCACUUUUUUAUAGCGAUGAUUUAUGGAACCAGAGUUUCUUAGCAGGAAAUGGAACUCGUGUGUUUUAGAAUAUUGGCGUUAUUUGCUUGUGCCCUGUUUGGUUGCUGAGAAAGAGUGGAAGGAGGAUGGAGAAUUAAAUAAUUUUCAAUCUAAGCAAUGAGAAAUUAGAUUUGGGUAUUUGGGCCAUUGGAGUUAUUUGCUCUUACUCAGUUUGGUUUCCAGGAAACUGCAGGCAAAGCAUGGAAAAUAAAGUAUUUUUAAAUUAAUUACCAGGAAAUGGAAUGUACGUAUUUGUCUCUUUGGAAUAUAAACAUCAGUAUUCACUCUUCAAGAAUGUAUAUGGUUGUUGUUUUGGAAUUUUGAAAUUACUUAGCAUCAGACAAUUUCUAACUUGGGAUUUGGAUUGGGAAUCAUAAGUAAUCAUUAGAGAGUAUAUGAGAAGGAGUUUUAGAGUAAGACAGGGUGAUGCAUGUUGAGGGAUGCGUCUCACCCUGGAGUUCUUUGGAAUAAUUAUAGGAUUUUGUAAGUAACUUUGGACUUAUUAGCAAUGUUCUGGAUUUGUGAAUAAUUUAUAGAAUACAUUGGGUGUUUUUUUUUUUUUUUUUUUUUGAGAGUGAAUAAUGUAUGACUGUACUCUUCUCUAUCUCUGUGGUAUGGCACACGUAUGAUUUGGUGCUUUUUUGCAGGCCUUCAACAGCAGCAAAGCAUCUGGUGGCUUGCAGUACUAAUCUUGCAUUAUAUUCUCUGUUUUGCAAUCAUUUGGUACUGUUUGUCCCAACCAAGGAUAGCUCUGUGCAAGCAGUCUCGACUGUGGAACAAGUAAAACAAAUGGUACCUGCUGAAGCUGAGAGGGCAGAUGAUAAGCUGGUGCGGAAGGUGGUCAACCAAAAGAAUCAGACAGCAAAAACUAAAAAGCCCAUCAAGCCUGCUACUGAAGCAGCCUCAGCACCUGUUUCUGGGAGGGGUGAGAUUGAAGUGACUGAAGAAAAGGAGCAUGAGCAAACAAAGAAGGAAGAGGAGUUGGCCAGGAAGGUAGAGGAAUUGAGAAGUGAAGAAGAAGCAGCCAUGUUGAAGGAGAGAAAGCCAACGUUAAGGAGGCACUGGAAAGGAAACAAGGAACUGCAGAAAAGGCCAAUUUCUCUGUGAGUGCUGCCACCUUUUCAUAAUAAUGGAUGUUAAAAGCAGUCUAACUCUACAUGGCGUUUAUUUUCCCCAGCCAUGGAUUGGAAUCUGCCAGUCUAACUCUCAUAAGAAACAAAAUUUUCCAUCCUCAUAUGGAUUAUUGGAGAAGAUUUUAACAUGGAGUUCACUAGAGAGUUUCUAACACCCACUCAAAAAGGACAUUUUAGAGAACUUAUUGAAAAGUUACAUCAGAGUACAUAAAUUUUUAGAUAUUUUUAAAAAUAUCUGAAAAAUUAAAUUAACUAAAAGUAUUUGAAAAAUAUUUGAUUGAAUUAAUAAAUAACUAGUAUUUGCAUAUGAAAAAAUAGUAAACAUAGUCAAUAAUUUUUUUUUUAAUAAUUAGCACAUAAUAAUCAUAAAUUAAUUUAUGGCAAGACCUCAUAUUUGUUGUGGUGACUGUGUUGUCUUACCAUUCUUCUUUCAUGAUGGGCUUAAAUUUUAAUUUAAAUGUAGUAUAAAUAUAUAAUUAGAUUGAUAUUUCGUCCACUAGAAUUGAUUGGGUCUGAAUUUGAACCCUGGUCUUGAAUUUCUUGGCCCAACCAACGAAAUCAUUGACCAACGGCCCUUAGUUUGGGCUGGGCUUGAUGGUCCUCAGGUUAUGCAGGCUUAAUACUGAUUGGGUUUGGGCUUCCAUGCAGUUGUACUUGGAUUCUAUGUUUCCUAAUAUUAACACUAAAAUUAGGUUUAAUUUAUUAACACUAAAUUAGGUUUCAUUUAUAAUUAAAUAUAAUUAGUUUGAGAAUAACUCCAAUCUUUAGUUAAACCAACUAAGUUUUAUGCAAAGGUUUAUAUUCCUAAUACCAUUGAAAAACUAAAUUUAUGUGGAAGUUUGACUGAUACCAACAUUAAAUUAUUAAGAUAAAUUGAAAAAAAAAAAAUCAUGCUCGUAUGUCCUGUUGUUUGUCAUAAGAAAAUUUCUUUUCAGAUUUUUUUUUUCUUUUAAUACAUCUUUACAUUUUUAAUAACAAUCCAUAGGAUUGUUCCCAAACAUAUAUCAUAUAAAUAUAUCUUUUUUGGAUUUUUAAGAAUGUUGUCAAACAAACUCAUAAUACCAUUCUUUCUUUACAAUUACCAAUCCAUAUGAUGAAUUUAUUCCUUUCAAUAACUGACAUCAUCUAAUAAAAAUUAUAAUUAGGUAUUAUAUUUAAAAAGUGUUUAAUAAAUCAAUUUAAUAACUUAAGUGAUUUAAUAACUUAAUUUAAAUUAUUAAAAUAAUUUGAUGUCACAAUUUAAAGUUAAAAUUGAUUUAAUUAAUUUUUAUUUAAAUUUAAAACUAUGUUUACAAAAAAGGCUUAAAAUUCAUAUCAAUUAAGAAAUUAAGUUAUUAAGUUACUUUAAGUCAUUAAAUUAAUCUACCAAUUAAACACCCUUUAAGAUAUGAUAUAAAGUUCACCUCCUACAUAUCAUGAAAAUUAAAAAUUAAUUACCACAUCAAGAAUCUUUAGUUCCUAAUCGAUUUAAUAUUUAAUCCUUGGUUGUGAAUUUCUUUAUAUAUGUAGAUAUAUUUUUAUAUUGCAAGUGGGCUGCCGACUUUUCAUUUUAUACUAGUUUUGAAAAUAAGAUUGUAGUUUUUAUUUUGUCCAAAUCUAAUUUGGAGGGAGAAUCUUUAGAGGCUAUUUUAUAUUCAAAUAGGAAAAUUUUAAAUUUAAUAGUCCCACCUUAUAAAGGCAAAUAUCUUGGACCCUACAUGGGUGCCUCUUACAUGCAUGCACGAGGACAAAGACUUAUUGAAAGCCUCUCUCAUUCACAUGGAUGCCAUCAUUCAUCGAAGUUGAAACAUGAAACCCACACAAAAUAUUUGGGCAAAAGCAACUUCAAUAUUUUUUUUCAUUACUAUAGCUGAGAAUCUCAAUAUUAUUAAAUAGUAAUAAAAUUAAUUUUAAUAUUUUUUUUCUUAUUUUUUCCUCCUUGUGGUUAUAUUUUCAUCCGGAAAGUAUUAAAUAUUAAAAAAGAAUAAAAUUUAAAAAUUAAUUUUUCAUAUUUAAUUAUAUUGUGAAAAAUAUAAAAUAAAAUAUAAUAUAAUUAAAAUUAGUUAAAAUUUUAUAUUUUUAUAAAAUUAUUUAACUUUUUUAUAAAAAUUUAAAAUAAGUGACAUGAGUUUGAAAUAGUAUACAUAUUGACUUUAAAUUUAAUUUUUAUAUUUUUCAUUUUUCUUUUUAACUAUUCUUCUUUCUUCUCUUUCUCUCAACUUUUCCUUCAAAUUUUCCAAUAACCAAACAUAACCUAUUUGUUUCAUAAAAACUCUUUUACCUUUUUAAAUUUUUAAAAGAGUUGCUUACAUAAUAUGGAGCUAAUAGUAUUACUUGUACCUAUUAAUUUCUUUUAAGAUUAAAUUGUUCUAACUUUGUGUGAUAAAAAGUUUGUAAAGUCCAAUUUUACGAAAGAAAAUAUAUGAUUAGUGACUCCCUUGCAUUUCCUUUGGGAUUCACCCCUUCAUACUUACCGUAAAUAGUUGUACCAAUUAAUCAAACAAAAAACAUAGCAUGUAAAUAGUAAUAUGUUAAAGUUUUCUAUCGUGCCUAAGUUUAAUUAGUUCUACUUAUUUAUAUAUUGAAAUGAAAGUAAGCAUAUAUUUAAGUGGUCCAUCAAAUUUGAAACUAAUCUAUUGUAAUUACAUUCAUGUCUAUAUCAUUUAUAUUGUACAUAACUUGAGUACAUUAAAAAUUGUACAAAAAAUCCAAAUUACAAGGAAGUUUAUAUAAACUCUCUUAGGAUUAGACACUGUUAGUCAUUGCCUUCUAAAAAGCUUUCAUCUCUUUCUCCCUCAAGAGGUUUGUAGUCACUUUACACAAGUGUCAAAACUCAAAAGAGUGAUCUAAUGAAGAUGACGAGGUGAUUGAGAUCCUUUUCAUAAACUGGAGUUUGAUAUGGGAACAUUCAUAUCGAAGGUAAAAAUUUUUAUCAGCAACUAGACUUACUUUUAUCUUUCCUUAUAAUUAAACCCAAUAAUCCUAGGUUGUUAGAGACCACACACCUAUGAUCCAAGGGUUUUCCCAACAAGGAUAUCAAUAAAUCUUUCUACUCUAUUGAUGGCAUCUUGAAUUCUUUCAAAUUAAUCACUUCAUUGUAAUCGUUAUUCACUAAAUCCCAUAAAUCUUGAGAUCUAAACAUGACAUUCAUAUGAAUGCAUCAAUUAUUAUAAUUCUUACUUAUGAAUUUUGAAAGUUGAGAUUCAAUUGAGUUAUUAUUUACCAUCAUUACUUUAACAACCAAAUUGCAAAUUUCUUUAUACUAUUCACAUUCUCUGGCAGCCUUUGACCUUCCCUAAUCUUUAGCCUCUAGCUAAUACCACUUGUUUGAGCUCCCAUAAUUGGGCAGCAUUGACAAUAAUUUACUAAAAUAACAUUUUAUUCUAUCCUACUCUCUCUUUGUCAACAUAAUAAUAAACCUCUAUUUAAAAUAAGUUGAUCAUAUUUGCAUUAUCACUCUAAUUCAUAAUUAGAUUGGGAAACCUAAUUAAUAUCAAAUAAAUAACCAUUCCUAAUAUUUCUCAAAUUUAUAAAAUUCUUCUAAUUUGACUUUAAAUUGAUUUUUUAUUUUGACUAUAUAGCUUAAAAAGGAUAAUUUUUUAAAUAAUUAUCAAUUUCAUAUAAUCUUUAUAAGCAUUUGUGUUCAUAAAUUCCUUAUUAUGAUAUUAGGUUUUAGACAAUUUGACAAUAUGAUGAUGUUUUGGAAUGAAUGUUAAGUGAAUCCGUUUUACUCAAAACCAUUAAAUAAAAAAAAAAGACAGUUACACAAGUAAAAUAGUAGAUUAUUGAAGGCCAGGAGAAAAGAAGAGGAAAAUGAAAUAUUAUAUCCCUAUAAUGAGUUAGGUGGAUAUUUCAUGUGAAAAGUUUAAUGUGCAAGGUUGUUCAUGUCUAUUGAGUUUUGGGUAAUCAUUUUUUCAUGGAAAUUUUUUAUGGAAUCCUAAUCUUAGAAAGCAAUAGGAAAUUUUUUUACCAAGAUUUCUAAGAAAUAACUACAUCAAAGUGUAAGAAAAGUAUCAAACUAGAAUAUCUAAGAAAUUACUACAUCAAAGUGUAAUAGAAACAUCAAAUUAGAAAGUGAAAUAUAAUACAAUUCAACUAUGAAAAUGAAGGACAAAGGAAUAGACUAAUUGCCAAAGGAAAAUAGUCUUUUAGUUUUAAUCAGAAAUUUCUUAUAUCAUAAUUAUGACCUGUAGAGGCCACAUGGGUUGUUGGCCUUGGAGUGACUAAAAGGUACAACUAAAAAACGUCAAACAUUUGGAGAACUAAAAGAAAACAUGGAUAAAAUUUUUUUACCUAGAACAUUUAUAUAGAAAUAUUUUAUUUUUUAUUUUUAAAAAAUUAGUAAAGGUAGUAAAGUUUUUUAAAGAUUAUUUUGCGCCCUAAAAACAAAUCGUAAAGGCUUGUUAAAGAUUAUUUUGGAUAUGUUUCAUGCAUUAAUUUUUUUUAACAUUUCAAAUUUUUAAAUGAUUUUUAAAAGUUAUUACCUUUUAAAAUGUAAAUCUCAUAGAGUAUUUGCAUUAUAUAGGAAUUACUAUCAUUUUUAUUUUUUUUAAAAAAGAGAAAUGUAUUCAAAUAAUACCUUAAUUUUUCAUUUUCUAGUAUAAGGAAAUGAUUAUAUCUCACACAAACCUUGUUCAGAUACAUAUUUCAAAGUGAGAAAAAAAAAAUUCUUUUAGAGAAAAGAAGUCCUUCAAAAAGAAGAAAAAAAAAGGUUUUUCAAAGAAGAGUUAGAAGGAAAAGUGAAUUCAAUCUUAUAAUCAGCUAACAUGAUGUUGUUUGAUUACAUUUUUUAUUUUCUAUUUUUACAAAUAAAAUAUAAUAAUAACUCCUAUAUGAAAUAUAGAACUCUUUCAAACUUACUUUAAAAACAUAAUAAUAUUUAAAAAUUAAGAUAAAUUGUGAUAUUAAAAAAAAAAUUACUUCUUCAAAUUUUAAAAAUUAUGAAAAUAAAUUUUUAAUGACAUAAGAUAAGUCUAUAAAUUUUACAUAAAAGUUAUUAUAUUUUAUAUAGAAACUAUUACUAUUUUCUAUUUGUAAAAAUACAAAAUAAAAAAUAUAUCCAAGCAAGUACUAUGAGAAAUAGUUUCUAACAUUUCUUAUUAAGAAAAUGAGAAUAUUAAGAAGUAUAUUCCUACUACAUUGUUUUUUUUUUUAAUUUGAUAUCAACCCAUUCUAUUAGCUCUUUUGAGAAAUAUAGAAAAAUAACAUUACAUAAUUGCAUAGAACAAGAAUAUUAUUUAAGUUUGAGGCAAGUGUUAAAAAGAUAUUGUAAUUCUGUUACGUUGUUUAACUUCAAUGUCCUAUAUGUAACUGUUAGGAAUUUGAGGCUAAUCCAAACUAUAGUAAUCACCCUAGAGGGAGGGGGGGGGGGGGGGUAAAUAGGGUGAUGAUCUCUUUUUCACAAAUCUAAACUAUGCAAAAAUAAGAGACAAUUAUAUGUAAAUAUAUAAUAAACACAAUUACAUAUAAUUUAAAAAAUUUGGGAAAAAAAAGUGCAAAACCGAAAACUUAUAAUGGGUCGACACUUCCUUGGCCACCUUCCCUCUCCUUAAACCCCUAAACGAAUGAGGGUUCCCCUAUUUUGAAGCUUCCACCAAGCUUCCAAACCCUUUACAAAUGGAUUAAGGUUUCCAAUCCCCCUUUUGNNNNNNNNNNNNNNNNNNNNNNNNNNNNNNNNNNNNNNNNNNNNNNNNNNNNNNNNNNNNNNNNNNNNNNNNNNNNNNNNNNNNNNNNNNNNNNNNNNNNAGAGAGUGCAAACACGAGAGCUUAUAGUGGUUCGACACUUCCUUGCCUACGUCCACUCUCCUCAACCUCCUAACCGAGUGAGGGUUCCACUAUCUUGAAGCUUCAACCAAGCUUCCAAUCUCUUUACAAUUGGAUUAUGGUUCCAAUUCACCCUUUUGGACUUUUGGCUCCAAGCACCCUUUACACUUCUCAAAAGUUAUCCCACUCUUGAACAACCUCUCAAGUGAUACCCCUCACUUGAGAAAAUUCCUCUCAAAGAUAUACAAAGAUUGAUCUCACAAAAAUUGUAGUAAUAGAACUUUAAGCUCAAAUGAUACAAGAGAAACUAGGAUUGAAUGGUGCACUAAAGAUAUGCAAGUUUUGGAAUAAUGGUGCACUCAAAAAUACUCUUCCAAGGCUCAAAUAUAAUCAAGAAAGAUUUGGGAAGGUUUAGCUUAUCAAACAACGAAGUUUGGAGCCUUUUUAUAGAAGAAAAAAGUCAUACUAGCCGUUGGGGGUUUGAUCGGUCGAGCUAAGGGUCGACUGGUUGACUAACCAUUAGGAAAAGUGACUGUUGAGCCUCAACCGGACCUCAACCGGUUGAGGUUCAACCUUGACCGGGAAGAGAAGGCCACUAGGAGAGAGAGAAAGUUUUUGGCCUCCCUCAACCGGUCCUCGACCGGACGAGCACAACCAAUCGACCAGUUGAACCGGUUGAGCCAUUUUUUUGGCUCAACACUCAACAUUUUUCAACUUAAAACCUUUUAACACAAAUUUGAAAAUCAUUUAACACAAGGUUUUAGUUGAAAACAUUAAAUCAUCCAAUUCUUAAGAUAUUUAAAACAAUAUUACUCUUGGAUAAUUUUGGUGCAUAAAUAAAUAAUGAAAUGCAUGAAAGUCCUAGUGCACCAACAACCUUACAAAGAGAUCCUAAGAAGCUUUGGUCUUGAAAAACUCUUCUCUUUGAGGUGGUCUUCUUUUUCAUGAUUUCUCCUUGACUUGAUUUGUCUUUGGAUUGCCACUUUGGAAGUCGUCUUGCCUAAUCACACUUGAAAUAUGAUCAUUAGUUCUAAACCUUGUUUUGUUAUCAUCAAAAUCAAGAUUAACCAAACCUUGGUUUCACAGUAACGACUUGUUCCCAACCAUAUAGAUAUUGUCCGCUUUGGACCCAAAUGGGCCCUCACGGUUUUUAAAACUCGUCUACUUGGUUAAGAGGAACUUCUACAUAUAUAGCGUCAGACUUUCCCCCCUAUCCGAUGUGGGAUGUCACAAACACCCCCCUCCCCCCCUCCAUGUAGACACAACGUCCUCGUUGUGUCCCAUGGGAUUGUAGGGUUAAAUAGACAAACACCCCUUAUGAGGUCAAACAAACCCCAACACCGGGGUCGGGGAUCGACUCUGAUACCAUUUAUCAGAAUCCGUACUCAAUUAUAUAUAUAUUGUCCGCUUUGGACCCAAAAGGGCCCUCACGACUUUAAAACGCGUAUACUUGGUUAAGAGGAGUCUCUACACAUAUAGCACCAAGAACUUUUCCCCCUAUCCAAUAUGGGAUGUCACACUAUAUAUGUGUAACAAUUUUUCUUUAAAAAAAUUAGAGGACUUAAAAUGGGCUCUUGUCAACCUUAUUGAUAUUUGAUGUCAAAGGGAUACAACCAACCACCACAAAUAAUUGAGAGAAAAGAAAGGAAAUAAUAAUAAGAGGUAGGCCCCGGGCUCUUGUGAACCUUAUUGAUAUUUGAUACCAAAGGGAUACAACCAACUCCCACAUUUAAUUAAGAGAAAAGAUUGGGAUAUCCUCACCACCAUGUCUAGAUUGCUUUAGUAGGACCAAGAGAAGUCAUUCAGCAUCCAAAGAUCCUCUUCUUCUUCUUCUUCUUUUAAUUCUAAAUGGAGGGACAAUGUGUUCUUGAGUUUCAAAGGUGAAAAUACUCACAAAAGCUUUACUAAUCAUUUCUACUGUAUAUCUUUACUUGUAAUAAAUGUAUAAGAUAUUUGUAUUAACUGUAUAAAACAUGUACAGACCUGUAUAUCUUGAAUUUAUUAAUAUGUUUUUCUUCAUUUUCUUUGUUUUCCAUACCAAAAUACUAAAAAAAUUAUUUACAUAAUUUUUUCUUUUCACAUUUUCAUAUGUAUACAAGACACUUAUACUAAAUGUACAAGAUAUUUUCAUAUUUUGACUAAUGCCUAUACAAAUAUGCAAAUAUAUUGACAAUAGGCAAACUCAUACUAGUCUUGUAUAGUUAUGACAAAUGUCUUAUACAUUUAGGGUGUGUAUACAAUGUUUUCUAAUUCUUUGUAUAGUUAAUACAAAUGUCAUAUAUAUUUUUGAAAAUGUAAAAAAAAAAAAAAGAAGUUAUAUUUGACAUUUACACAUUAUAUAUAAACAAUAUUUCAAUUUAAUAUGGAAAAUGAAAAAAAUGCAAAUAGAUAUAUGUGAAGGGUAAAAAGAGUAUUUUUGUUCGUAAAAUUUCAUGUACUUAAACAUGAAGUAUGCAUCUUUUCACAGAUGUUGGCCAAAUUAUGAACCUCAAACACAAUUGUUUUAAAGAGAAAUGUGAAGAAAAAGAAUAUGAAUGGUAGUUGUAAGAAAAUUAAAAAAUAAAAUCAUUGACUCUUCACUCUACCAAACUAGGGAUGACAACGAGGCGAGUUUGGGAUGGGGCCUCGUUCCGUUUAACUUUUUUUUUUAAUUACUUAAAAUUUUUUUAAUUAUAUUAAAAUAAAUAUAUUUUAUAAAUAAUUAAAUUAUUAUAUUUUUAUAACUUAUUUUAUUAAAAAAUAUUUUUUUUAUUAUUUAUAUAUUAAAAAUAGUAAAAUUAAAAUUAAAAUUAAUUUAAUUUUAAAAAUUAAUUUUAUAUAUAAUAGGGGUGGAGCAAGAUAAGGCAAUAGCUGAAUCUGUCCUGGGUUUUAAAAAGAUUCCCAAACCUGUCCAAAACUCAUUUAGUUAAAAUUGAAACUCAUCCAAUUACGAGCGGGUAUCCGAAAAAACUUGUCCUAUUGUCAUCCCUAUACCCAACCACACUAUCAUCCAAUGAAUAAAACGAAAAUAACUAAAAUUAAGGAACAACCCAAGAAUCAAUGACUUCCUAGCAAGCCCAUCCAUAUCCCAACACGGACAAAAAUAUUUUAAUUUUUUUGCCUUAAAAAUCACGCAUGAAGCUUCCUAGAAAUUUCAUACUUCUUUGUCAUUAUCUAUAUUUUCUACUUCUUUUUCAUCGUCAAUAUUUGUGUAUAUAUAUAAAAUAAAACUUGCAAGAAAAUACAAAAAUGAUAGAUGGCAAAAUGGUUUUUAUGUUAAGAAGGUUCUAAAUUUUUCACACCUUUACAGUAUAAAAAAAAAAAAAAAAAAAAACUUUUUAAAUACAGAACUAUUUCGGACUUGAAUCAUUUUGAAAUUCAGAGACUUGAAAAGUGUUUGUUGGACUUGAAGGAGUUUGGAGUUAAUCUUGAACUUAGAUAUGUUUAGAAAUCAAAGUGGAUUUGAAGAAGAUUGAAAUCCACGACAUGACAACACUGUAAUAUGAAUAGUGUUUUGUCAAAAAAAAUUACUAUUUACUAUUUACUAGGGCAUAAAAGAAAAAUACAAAAUAAUACUCUAAAAAUGCGAAGGAAAGAUUGUUGGUCGUUGAAUAAGGGGAAAAAAAAGAAGAAAAGUAAAAUGUGAAAAAAAAAAGCUUCAAGAGUGCAAUUAAUAAUUGUGGUAGGCCCUGACUUUUGUCUUGUGAACCCGCCUAUUAUUGAAUGGAAAAGGGAUAUAGCCAACCAAAAUAAUUGAGAGUAAAGAAAGGAACACCUCACCACUAUGCUCCAAAUUGAGAGAAAAACAAAGUCAGCCGGCAUCCAAGGACAUUUUUAUUAAAAAAGUAAAGAAAAGAAAUGGUGCUUUAGCUAUUAUCAUAUCAACUCCUAGGAAAUAAAUGAAAAGAACAAGUAAAUGAAAAGAAACAAAAAAAAAAGUUCUUAGAAUGCAAAAAGAAGAUAUUGGAUAUUGAAUGCCCAAAAGAGAAAAAAAUAAAAUGGUAAGAUGUAAAGAAAAGAGUCAGAAAAGCUUCACAAUUGCAAUUAAUAAUUGAGGUACGACUUGGACUUUUGUGAACCCUCACUGUUAAUGCUAAAGGGUUACAGCUAAGGAAAGGAUAAAUGGGAGAGAAGAACAGGACAUCCUCACCACCAUCGUCUUAGCAUCAAAGACCCUCUUUUUUCUUCUUCCAAAUUCUGUUCUUGUAAUUUUGUUACAAUCCAACCAUGGCUUCCUCUAGCAAUUCUAAGAGACCCUUUUGUUCUUCUUCUUCUUCUAAUUCUAAAUGGAGGUACGAUGUGUUCUUGAGUUUCAGAGGCGAGGAUACCCGCAACAACUUUACUAGUCAUCUCUACAAGGAUUUGGAUAAGGCCAACAUUAAAACCUUUAAAGAUGAUGAAGAACUUCGAAAGGGAGGAGAGAUUGCACCCGAGCUCCUAAAAGCUAUUGAAGAAUCAAGGAUCGCCAUUAUCGUCUUCUCGAAAACCUAUGCUCAUUCCAAGUGGUGCUUGGAUGAACUCGUCAAGAUCAUGGAGUGCCAGAAAGAAAAGGGACAAAUAGUUUAUCCCGUUUUCUAUCACGUACGGCCGUGUGAAGUCAGGAACCAGUAUGGGACUUAUGGAGAAGAAUUUAAGAAACACGAGAGCAAUGCGGACGAGGAGAAGAAGAAGAAAAUAGGGGAGUGGAGGACUGCCUUAAGGAAAGCCGGUGAUUUGAGUGGAUUUAGUCUGCGGGAUAGGUAAUCCCUACUUCACUUUUUCCAUUUCCAAUUUUCUGUCAGUUUAUUUUCAUUCUUGUUAGUAAAUAAAAUAUUUAUGAUUACAUAUAUCAAUCAAAAUCCAGUUUUUAAGUAGUAGACAUUAAUAUGUUUGAUUUCUUGGAAAGUAAUAAGAAGAGUUAAAAAUAAAUAAAAAUAAAAAUUUAAAAAAUUUGAUUUUCUUAUAUUUAAUGUAUUAUUAAAAAAUAUGAAAGAAAAUAAAAAUAUAAUUAAAAUACAUUGUAAAAAUAUAUAUAAUUAGUUUAUAAUUAAAAUAAUCUUAGAAAAUCUAUAGUAGUUGUUCUGGGCUCAUUCAGGCCCAACAGGUAAUCCCUAUUUCACUUUUUCCAUUACCAAUUUUCUGUCGGUUUAUUUUCAUUCUUGUUAAUAAAUAAAAUAUUUAUGAUUACAUUUAUCAAUCAAAAUCCAUUUUUAAGUAGUAGACAUUAAUAUGUUUGAUUUCUUGGAAAGUAAUAAGAAAGAGUAAAAAAAAAAAUUGACUUUCUCACAUUUAAUUUAUUAUUAAAAUUAUAAAAGGAAAUCAAAUAUAAUUAAAAUAUAUCGAAAAAAAAAAUAUUUGCCUACAAUUGGGAUAAUAUUAGAAAAUCUAUAGUAGGUGUUGUGGGCUCAUUCAGGCCCAGGUAAUACUGGUAAAAAAAUAAAAUAAAAUAAUUAUGCCAAAUGCCAAGUUUUGAAUUGUUAAAAAUCUUUAAGAUUCCAAAAUAUUCUUCCUUUCUAAUCAAUCCAUCUCAGCCAUAAUUUCUAUCAAUUAAAUUGUUCAAAUUGGUUAUUUAUAUGCUUUGUAAAUUUGGAGAUAAUCUGAGAUGAUUAUUUAAAAUAUUGUAAUACUACCCUAAAUUUUUUUGGACCCUCUUAUGGGACAAAAAACUUAGUUAUUGCACCCUUAACCUUUUUCAAUUUUAGAGGAAUUUUCUAUUACUAAAAUAAUUUUCUCAUGUUCUCUGUGCACUACAUGAGUUUACAUUUCUUCUUUACUUAAUAUUGUUUGUUCCUCUAUAUUUGCAAGUUGAUUAUUAAAUUUAUUUACCUUUUAAUCUAAUGUUUGUAUCUCGUUUUAUUCUAAUUAUCCCAUGACAUCUGGAUAAUCUCUUCUUAAGACCUUGACAUGACAUAAUGAAAUUUUAUUUAAACAUGCAAUUCAACACAUUUUUAAUUUACAUUCUAUUUGACCUUAAUUUAAUUGCACCGAACUAAAGAUCAUUCUAUAAUUUCCAUUUACUUCAUCUUUGUUUUCUUUGACAAUUGAUUGUAGCUUACUCCAUGUUUUAUUGUACUUUAUAAUGGACAGAUCUGAGGCAGAGUUUAUUGAAGAAAUCAUUGGUGAGAUUCGAAGAUUAAUUCCUAAGUGGGUACAUGUUGGUGAGAAUAUUGUUGGAAUGGAUGAAAAUUUGAAAAAAGUGAAGUUAUUGAUAGAUGCCCAAUCAAAUAAAGUGAGUAUGGUUGGGAUUUAUGGGACUGGUGGGAUUGGUAAAACUACCAUCGCCAAGGUUGUUUACAAUGAUAUGUUAGAUCAAUUUAAAUGUCACAGCUUUCUUGAAAAUGUGAGAGAGAAAUAUGAAGAUAAAGGUGAUUUGCUUCAAUUACAAAAAGAACUUCUUUGUGAUAUCCUAAUGGAGAAAAAUCUGGUGUUAAGGAAUAUUGAUGAAGGAUUUAAAAAGAUAAAGAGUAAGCGUCACUCUGAAAAGGUUCUUAUUGUUCUUGAUGAUGUAGGUUGUGAAGAACAAUUAAAAUUCUUAGCUCCUAAUUCUGAAUGUUUUCAUCCAGGAAGCAUAAUCAUUGUGACCACGAGAAAUAAGCGUUGCCUAGAUGUAUAUGACUCGUAUUCAUCAUAUGAGGCUAAGAGAAUGGCAGACAAGCAAGCUGAGGAACUCUUUUGUUGGAAUGCCUUCAAGCAAGACCAUCCCAUAGAAAAUUUUGUGGGCCUCUCUAAUCGUAUACUGGAUUAUGCUGACGGCCUUCCAUUGGCUCUUGUAGUUUUGGGUUCUUUUCUCUUUCAAAGGCCUAUGGAUGAAUGGGAAAGCACAUUGGAUGAACUCAAAACAAUCCCUCCCGAGAAUAUUCAAAAGGUACUCCAGAUAAGUUAUGAUGGACUAAGUGAUGAACGCAAGAAGUUGUUUCUUUAUAUUGCAUGCUUCUUCAAAGAUGAGGAUGAAAAAAUGGCAACAAGAAUACUAGAAAGUUGCAAAUUACAUCCCGCUAUUGGACUAAGAGUUCUUCAUGAGAGGUGUCUUAUUUCUAUAGAGGACAACACUAUAAGGAUGCAUGACUUGUUACAAGAAAUGGGUUGGGCAAUUGUUUGCAAUGAUCCAGAACGUCCAGGAAAAUGGAGCAGAUUGUGCGAAUUACAGGAUAUUGAAAGUGUAUUAUCACAAAAUGAGGUAAGAGAAAAAUACAUGAACAUACUUGAGAUCUAAAGACAUAAAAGAUUCAACAAGAUUUAUUUUUAUUAUUAUUAUAGUUUGAGUAUAUUAUCUAUAUAAUUUUAGUGAAUCCCUAUGCAUCUUAUACUGCUCAUUCUCAAUCCUUGUUUUCAGUGGACAAAAAACAUUGAGGGGAUUUUCACAAGUCAGUCUCGCCAUACAGGAAAACAUAUACAACUUACUACUGAAGUUUUCAGAAAUAUGAAUCAACUUAGAUUGCUCAAAGUCGAAUUCAAUCAGAUCGUGCAGCUUUCCCAAGACUUUGAAUUGCCUUGUCAUGAUUUAGUAUAUUUUCAUUGGGAUUACUACCCUUUAGAAUAUUUGCCAUCAAAUUUUCAUACAGACAAUCUUGUUGAACUCAACCUCUGGUGUAGCCGCAUAAAACAUCUUUGGGAAGGAAAUAUGGUAUUGCUAUUAUUUAGUUAUAUUUUUGUUGUAGACUAAUUUUAAAGUCUUUUGAAGUUUACUUCUUGACACAAAUUUUCUUCUGUUACAGCCUGCUAAAAAGUUAAAAGUCAUUGAUCUUAGUUAUUCCAUGCAUCUGGUUGACAUUUCAAGCAUCUCAAGUAUGCCAAAUUUGGAGACUCUAACUCUAAAAGGUUGUACAAGGUUCCUUAAGUGUUUCAUCCAUGCUAAAUGUUAUUAUCAGUCAUGAACUAAUUGUUUUCUUGAAUAUAAUAGGGUGCACGAGACUUAAGAGUCUUCCAAGGAACUUUCCUAAGUUGGAAUGCCUUCAAACACUCUCUUGUUGUGGCUGUUCAAACUUAGAGAGUUUUCCGAAGAUCGAGGAAGAAAUGAGAAGUCUAAGAAAGCUUAAUUUAAGUCAAACAGGUAUAAUGGGAUUACCAUCAUCAAUUAGCAAGCUAAAUGGGCUUAAAGAGUUGGACUUAAGUAGUUGCAAAAAGCUUUCGAGUCUUCCGGACAGUAUUUAUAGUUUGAGCUCUCUUCAAACUCUCAAUCUAUUUGCAUGUUCACGACUAGUGGGCUUUCCGGGUAUCAAUAUUGGAAGUCUAAAAGCUCUUAAAUACUUGGAUUUGUCAUGGUGUGAGAACCUUGAGAGUCUUCCGAAUAGUAUUGGUAGUUUGAGCUCUCUUCAAACUCUUUUAUUGAUAGGGUGUUCAAAACUGAAGGGCUUUCCAGAUAUCAAUUUUGGAAGUCUAAAAGCUCUUGAAUCGUUAGAUUUCUCAGGUUGCAGAAACCUUGAGAGUCUUCCCGUGAGCAUUUACAAUGUAAGCUCUCUCAAAACUUUGGGGAUUACAAAUUGUCCAAAACUCGAGGAAAUGUUAGAGAUGAAACUAGGGGUUGAUCCAUGCCCCUGGCCAUUUUCACCUCUAACCUGUCACAUUUCAAAUUCAGCAAUAAUCUGGGAUGAUCACUGGCAUGACUGCUUUUCCUCAUUAGAAGCAUUAGACUCACAGUGCCCCCUGUCAUCACUGGUAGAAUUAUCUGUAAGAAAGUUUUAUGACAUGGAAGAAGACAUCCCCAUUGGCAGUUCCCACCUAACCUCAUUGGAAAUAUUAUCUCUGGGGAACGUCCCUACAGUAGUAGAAGGAAUCCUCUAUGACAUUUUCCAUCUAUCUUCAUUGGUAAAAUUAUCUCUUACUAAAUGCAAGCCAACAGAAGAAGGAAUCCCCCGUGAUAUUCAGAACCUAUCUCCACUGCAACAAUUAUCUCUACAUGACUGCAAUCUAAUGAAAGGAACGAUCCUCGAUCAUAUUUGCCAUCUAACAUCCUUGGAAGAAUUAUAUCUGGGUUGGAACCAUUUUAGUAGCAUUCCUGCUGGCAUCAGUCGACUUUCCAAUCUAAAAGCCCUUGACUUGAGUCACUGCAAGAAGCUUCAACAAAUUCCAGAGCUUCCAUCUAGUCUACGAUUUUUAGAUGCGCACUGUCCGGAUCGUAUUUCAUCAAGCCCCUUGCUUCUACCUAUUCAUUCUAUGGUCAAUUGCUUCAAAUCAAAAAUUGAGGUAUGAUUCUCAUGCCACGUUCCUUUUUCUUUUGUACCCAUUGGAUUUACAUGGUGCUUUCGUGCAGGGGCGCAAGGUUAUUAAUAGGUAUUCUUCCUUCUAUGGCAAUGGGAUUGGUAUUGUUAUUCCUAGUAGUGGAAUUCUAGAGUGGAUAACGUAUCGGAAUAUGGGAAGGCAAGUAACAAUAGAGCUCCCUCCGAAUUGGUAUAAAAAUGAUGACUUGUGGGGAUUUGCUUUAUGCUGUGUUUAUGUUGCACCUGCCUGUAAAUCUGAGGAUGAAUCUCAGUAUGAAUCAGGUCUUAUAUCUGAGGAUGACAGUGACCUUAAAGAUGAAGAAGCAAGCUUUUAUUGUGAAUUGACAAUCGAAGGAAAUAAUCAAUCAGAAGACGUGGGUCAUUUCUUUCUUCAUUCUCGCUGUAUUAAGGAUGAUGUAUCAGAUAUGCAGUGGGUGAUAUGUUAUCCCAAGUUAGCUAUUGAGAAAAGUUAUCACACCAAUCAAUGGACACACUUCAAGGCUUCAUUUGGUGGUGCCCAAGUGGAAGAGUGCGGAAUCCGUCUUGUAUACAGAAAAGAUUAUGAACAGAAGCAUCCAAGAAUGGCACAAGGCAGUACUUCUCAUGGGAAUUUUGGUGAGCAUGGAUCAGUAAGAGAAGAUACUGAUAGUAAAGCUCACAAUAAAAGGAAUCCCACAGAACAGAGCCCAGGAGAGGAGUCACACCAUAAAAGAUCCAGAGAAACCCAAGACUGAUCUCAAGUAUUAGGCUCAACCACACUUGCAUCACUAAUGCUCUCUUUACUGGUAAUUCAUCUUCCUUUCUCUUUCUAAUUCAAAGGUCAGAAUUUUUUUUUUAUCGUGUUUCUCCUUUUUAUUUGUUUUUUUUUUCCCCAAGACAAACAAAACUUUGAGGCUAUCACCCAUGGGCGCAAACUUCAAUGGUACACCUCCCAAGUUUGUUUUUCUCUCUCUCCAACCGUCUCUCCCUAGAUUUUUCUGCAUUUUCUUCAAACUCAUAUUUCCAUAUGAAAUUCAAUUACAUUCGAGCAUUUCAAUCUCUGUAGCUACUGUCUGAAUCAAUUAUAGGGUUUCUUUUUUCUGGAAGUUUGUAAUGUUAUUGAUUUAAGACUUCAUGUUUGGGGAUGUUUUGGGUGGCUUGUUCACUGGUAUUACUUGUGAUAAUUGCAGCUCUGGUGCUUUCAAUGACUGACAAUAGUUGAAACUAUGUUGAAUGCUUGUACUAAGGGAAUGGACUUCAGCUGCUCCAGGGUUAGUGCUAUAACAUCAGUAUUCACUCUUCAAGAAUGUAUAUAGUUGUUGUUUUGGAAUUUUGAAAUUACUUAGCAUCAGACAAUUUCUAACUCGGGAUUUGGAUUGGGAACCAUAAGUUAUCUCACCCUAGUGUUCUUUGGAAUAAUUAUAGGAUUUUGUAAGUAACUUUGGACUUGUUAGCAAUGUUCUGGAUUUGUGAAUAAUUUAUAGAAUACAUUGGGUGUUUUUUUUUUUUGGUCCAUCAAAAACUUCAAGAACUUUGAGGGUGAAUAAUGUAUGACUGUACUCUUCUCUAUCUCUGUGGUCAUAGCACACGUAUGAUUUGGUGCUUUUUUGCAGGCCUUCAACAGCAGCAAAGCAUCUGGUGGCUUGCAGUACUAAUCUUGCAUUAUAUUCUCUGUUUUGCAAUCAUUUGGUACUUUUUGUCCCAACCAAGGAUAGCUCUGUGCAAGCAGUCUCGACUGUGGAACAAGUAAAACAAAUGGUACCUGCUGAAGCUGAGAGUGCAGAUGAUAAACUGGUGCGGAAGGUGGUCAACCAAAAGAAUCAGACAGCAAAAACUAAAAAGCCCAUGAAGCCUGCUACUGAAGCAGUCUCAGCACCUGUUUCUAGGAGGGGUGAGAUUGAAGUGACUGAAGAAAAGGAGCAUCAGCAAACAAAGAAGGAAGAGGAGUUGGCCAGGAAGGUAGAGGAAUUGAGAAGUGAAGAAGAAGCAGCCAUGUUGAAGGAGCAAAGUCUGUUGG
rnacentral:lncRNA from 1 species